AGGGGCACGCGAACAAAAUGAGGCUCAAGCUGACCAGGCCGAGCCGGAGGAACGCUGGGGCUUGGCAGCAGAAGGGAUGGGACCAGAGAGAAGGGUGUGGAGGAGACCCCAGUGAGGGCCAGGACAUUUCAGGUAAAGAGAGGUCAUAUCUCCGUACCUCACUUCCUGACACAAACAAGUUUUCACUGUUGUCAGCAACAAAGCCCUAAUAUAGCUGCGGAAGAGAAAAACUGCAUUGCAUUUUGCCUCCUGCAAGCAUCAUCAACAGUUACUGGAGGAACGUAAUUCCAGAAAGCUUGAAAGCCGUGGUGAUGGUAAUUAUGUAUCAAAUGCCUGGUUCUAUUUCUGUUAUUAUUGUUUUGUCAUUUCUGUUUUCCCAGCGAUCUGACUGAACUUGCAGAGGGACAAAUCCAGUUUUUCUUUUUGACUUUUGUCAAACUAAAUCAGGCCUGAUAGAAAACUCAUUGCUCUCCGGGGAAACAAAGUAGGAGCCACGAAAUGUCAUUUUAACAGAGCGUGGGUUUGGUGACUGUAGGAAAGGAUUUGAGGACGCUCCUUCUGUUCGGCUUCCUAUGUCAUGAGCACAGGCUCCACGCACGCACAGACACCACGGCUCCCGGAUGCUGUGGCUCCCCGAUCUGGGCUCCUGCAGCGCCAGAAGCCCCUCCGGGAUGCUUCGAGGGGCUCCCAGUGGGUGGAGGUACGGACGCCGCUGCGGCCGCCGCCGCCAGUCCUGCUGCUGUUGUUGCUGCUGCAGUCACGUGGGAGCCCCUUUAAGUUUCCAUAGAGAGGCCUCUCUGGUGUCACAUGAUGGACAUGAUAUAAUGAAACAACAUUGUGGAGAGGAAAGCAUUAGGGGAGCCCACGGCUACAAAAACAAGUGAGUGAGAAGAGGUGGGAGGAAGAGAAACUACGCCACCUCCCCUGCAGCCGAGUGCACGCAGCAGCCUGGCGUGACAAGUGGGCGACGCCGGGGGGCAGGGAGCCGGGGUCCUUGGCCCUGGCCGGGGACCCCACCGCCCACCGCGCGGAGGACAACUUUUAGCCGGCAGCCCAGACCAGCGCGGCACCUGUCUCCGGAGUCUCCACCGCUCCUCCCGAUUCAUCCCAGGGAAAUUCUCAAGAAUACGCUCUACAAAUCUACGUGCGCAUCAUUUUCACCUCGCGUCGCGCCCGGGAGGAAGGAACGAGGCAAGGAGCUAAAGCAGCGUGCGUUCAGCCCUGGGGCAUUUUAUUAAUGCUUUUACGAGUUAGAAGAGUUGGGAUAAUUUGCCAUCUGGAGUUUCUCUGCCUUGCUGAUCUGAGCUCAGACCUGCCAAUUUACCAGAGAUAAUUGAUAACACCCUGUAACAGCUGAGAGGAAAAUGGAAGAAACGGAGAUACUUUUAGUGAAACAGAAUAAACCACUGAACAGGAAAAAUGAGGAAGCUGUGAGUACCAGUGGAAGGAACGAGCCAGGAAGAGGGACUGGAACCAUCUCAGAAGCCAGGCCCCUCAGGCUGGAACUUGCCCUGUCUCCUCGCAGAUGAGACAGACUUUUAAGUACGAGAAAGCUAAUGGCGCAGAUUCUGCUGACUGUGUGGCUCUCGUCUUAAUGCGUUUUCCAACCUUGAACCUGAGAAUGCCAGAGGAUUGAGUCUCUGGACGUUCAUCUGAGCAGAUAUCUGCUGGCCGCCUGGUUCCUGAGCUAACAAGUGGGUGUCCCGGGCUUGUGUGUGUAGUCACAACAGUGGAGGUGCCACGUGGCACCCAGAGGUCGACUGGGGCUACCGCGGGGCUUCCCGAUCCUCACAAGUGUGUCUUCAGUGUCUGACAUGAACUGGGAACUUGGGGCAUCUUUAGAAGCACAGACAUUUGGAGUUCCACGGCAAACCUGGAUGUAAGCACUCACACAGCUUUUAAAGUGAAAGCAGGGACCUUGAGGAAGGAAUUGCCGUCAUCUCAUUGCCGACCUGCUUACUGUGCUGGGAAACAAACAAUACCUUGAAGGUAAAAGGUGGGAGCACGACUGGAGUGUGGAACUGGAAAGCAGAAACCAGGGGUGUUACUUCUAUGUCUAGUAUGGAAUGUUGUGAAUUUAAGUUAGAGCUUCUGUGUCCUGGGAAUUCAUAUUUUAUCUCAAAGUGGUGCUGAUAGGACUGGAGGUAGCUGUAUUUCAUUUGAAACAUUCCAGCCUCUUUAUAGGAAUAUCUGUGAAUUUUUAAUUCAGCAAACAUCUUUUAAGUGUGUCCUUUAUGUAUAGCGUUGUAGUCAGAGCUGAAAUUGUUUCACCAUUAAAUUUACGGAAAUUCAGUUUGUAAGUGAAAAAUUAAGAACAGUUUGAAAGAAGGGCGAAUGAGCAGAGCAUUGCCAUCUAAACAGUCUUGUUAAAGAUAGUGCCAAGUGAGCAGGACUGUCCCUUCUAAGCUGCCCCUCCUAAUUAAAGGGAAAGGUGGCUGCCAUCUGUCUUCUUUCAUUCAAGGCAGUAGGGGGUCUAGGGUGGAAGGAAGCAACCCCCACUUUAUUUUUCUCCCACUCUUUUUUAUAGUCAGCUUUCUCCCUAGUCAGUGACCCAGAAGGUCAUUGAUGAUCUGUCUAUCUCAGAAUGAAUAGUAGCAUAAGCACGCUUGGCACUUGCAAAAAAAAAGAAAGUUUAUAACAUGCACUGAUCCAUUUAAAGUUCUGCUUGAAUUAUGUCUGAGAGUAUUGUAAUCUCUGUAUUGGUGUCUCUGCCCUGUUUGUUACCAAGGGCACUACUGGCAGGAAAAGUGGGGAGUUUUACUUUUAUUGAUUUUGCUUUUUCAUGAAAAAAUGUUUACACUCCACUGGGCAUAAUCAGAAGAUGGCAGCACAUGGCUAUGUACAGGAGAUGUGGGGAUGUACAGGAAUAUUAUUCUUAUCAAAAUCAAGGACACCUAUUAAUGAUGAUACAUAUAUGUCAUCUCAGGGGAAAGCAUGAACAAGCAUGGCAACAGAUGUCCAAGUUACUCAGUGGCCUGCUGCAGCUUUUUGGACCAGUUAUUGAAAUAAUUCACAUUGUUUAGCUUUUGUUAAGCAAUAAGGCUUUUAGCCUUUUUCUUGUAAGAAUACGUUGCAGGAGAAUUUAGUUUGGGGUCAUGUCUUCAUUGCUUUGGAAAUGUAGAAUAGUCCUCCAACAAAAUGACUGCAUUUGCUUGCCUUCAUUUCCACCUCUGUAAAUAGAAGAAAUAUCUGCUGUUUUUAUAAAUAUAUAAGAGAAUAUGAAAUAUUUUCCAUCUUUCAUAAGAACUGUGUUAUAACUGAAAAAUUCUCAAAUCUUCAGUUAUGUUUAUUUUCAAUUUUUACACACUUAAGCAAGGUGUUAACAGUCUUCUAAAGAGAUUCAGUUGUUACAAGCCUUGUUUAGUUCCCAAGUAGCAGGUAUGGACUUCUCAGAACAUACUGGUUUUUAGAACUCUCUUUGUGACACAGAAGUGUGGUAUUUCUUAAACCCAUAACAAUAUAUUUGGAGAGCUCAAAUGUGAAAGUCAUGUCUGUAAUUUUAUUUAGAGCUUUUUUUUUUUUUUCAAAUUUGUCACCAACUUGCAAUGAGCUUUCUUGGAAACAUAGACGUGUUUAUGUUGUUGAGUCUUGAGAUGAACAUGUGUGGGCUUCUGACGACACUGAUGCCCAGUUUGUAUGAUUGGAUGAUACCUGAAAAGUGGGUCACUUCCUAGUCAGUGAAGGGUACACAGGGCUGAACAGGCAGGGCUUUUUGGCUUUUUCCAUGCUUUUGUUUUUGUUUUUGGUGUGUGUGUGUACUAAUUUUAGAUACUCAGCUAGGUACUUGACUGGCUAUCCUUUUUAGCAUGUGAUUUAAAUUAAUUUGGUUUUACCCAUCAGUAUUUAUUUCAAGGGGACUAAAUAAACACAUUAAAUGAAGCACUUAAGAACUUUCUAUCUUCUUUUGACUAUCCACAGCGGCGGGAAAUCUCUGUCCUUUGAGGGUAGGAGGGAGCCAAUAGUUAGGUCUCAUGAAUAUGGCAGGUGAUCAAACCACUGAUUCAAGUCAUUGUUUCAUGUUAUAAACAUGGACUGAGCCAGCUACUACAUUUCAGUAGAAGGUACUGUAGAUUCAAAAGUGAACAUGGGUCUGGCACUUCAGAAAGACACAGGUUAGUGAGAUAAAUGACUAUAAAAAGAGGUAGCACUGUAGACUGAUGUCCUGUAACAGAGGUACACGUGUGCUGUUAGAGCCAAGAGGGGGUCAAAAUAAAAAGACAGGGCACACGGUGGCUCAUACCUGUGAUCCCAGCACUUUAGGAGGCUGAGGUGGGAGGAUCACUUGAGGCCAGGAGUUCAAGACCAGCCUGGGCAACAUAGAUCCCCAUCUCUACAAAAAAAUAAAAUAAAAUAAAAAAAUAAGCCACACAUGGUGGCAUGCAUCUAUAGUCCUAGCUACUUGGGAGGCUGAGGCAGGAGGAUCCCUUGAGCCCUGGAGUUGAAGGCUAUAGUGAGCUAUGAUCACACCACUGCACUCUAGCCUGAGCGACAGAACAAGAUCCCAUCUCUGAAAAAAUGGAUGAGUGAAUUAAAUUUCAAAAUAGAGAUUUAAUGGAAAAAUGAGAAUUGUUGUGUACAUGAUUUAUGAAGUGGCUUACAUAAUAUAAUUUUGGACAUGAAAGCCCUGAAAAAUAGCUUCUUAUUUUAAGGAUGAACAGACUGGGAUUUAUUUCUGAAAUUCUAUAACUCUCAGUCAGUUGUAAGGCUUUCAUUAUAUAAUAGACUUUUUUUUUAACCAACGGAAGUUGGACCUCUUCAAAAUGUGAGAUCCAAAAAGGUUUUGGAUAUUGUUUGAAUAACUCUCUUCUCCAAAGGAGACUGUUUUUGAAAAAUGAUUCUUUCUGACAUGUUAAAAUUGAAUAUUUUUGACACACCAAAUGCACCAAAGUAUUAUAUGUCAUAUUGCCGAGAGUAGCUAUAUAGCUUGUGGGAGACAGUUAACGUGAAGCUUUCUUGCAUCUGGAAACAUGGGGAGAGAGAAGGCUUCUUCACACCCCCUUUCAUGUUAUAUUCUACAGGGAAAGAAUUUCUAUCAUGUAGACACUAGGUGACUCCCUUGUGGAUAAUUUCAUUUAACAAUGAUUUCUGGGUGUUGCUCUAUGCCAGGCACUGUUCUAGGAGCUGAUGCGAAGGCUCAGCUGAUGGGCUACAGACCUGAAGGCCUGUGCUCCUCAGUGGCACUUUGUAGGUAGAUACAGAGCCACCAUCUACUGGGUGCUUCUCCUGAGUGUGACAGUGUAGGCUGGGACACGAUGCUACCCUUCAAGGAGCUUGAAGCUAAGGUUCUGUGCACAGAUAAAAUUAGAAUAAAUGCAGAGAUGCUAUAACAAGAUGUCUUAGAAAAAAGAAAAACAAAGAAUAAAUGCAGAGAGAAAGAGAAAUGUAUAAAAGGUAGAGAGAUAAACAUACCACAAGUUCAUAGAAAAGAAAGGUUGUGUGUUUAUCUGUGGCUGGGAUGAUCAAGAAAUGUUUCAUGGAUAAAGAGCCUUUGAGCCAGACAUUGAAAGAAAGGUAAUGUUGGACUUGAGGUCUUGGAGUAUCCUCAUUGAAGGAAACAUGAGCAAAGGCAUAGGUAGGGAUGGGAAAUGCCGGGGUGCAGAGUGGGCAGGAAUCGAUUUGUAGUUGCUGGGCAAUGAUGUGUGUAAACCACUAAGGAGAAGAUCAGGUAGCAAAGGUCCUUGGAGGCCAGAACCCAGAGGGCCUUGAAUGGCACGUGACUAAAUGAUUUAAACUUAAGUUACUGGGGAGCAAUGGAAGAAUUUGAGUGGCUAGAGUCCCCAUCCUGAAGAGGCCUUGCGGGGAUCAGCAUGUGGGUGCCUCUGGACUGUGAAAUAGCCAGAGCUGGGAAGCCUUUUAGAGCUGCUGUUGUGGUCCAGGAGGGAGGUGGGGAGGGCCUGGGUGAGGGGAAGGCCACUAGAUGGAGAAAUUGAAUUUAUGAGAUGGGAUUUAGGAACUGCCUAGAUAAUAGGGGUUGGCCGAUGGGAAGCAAAAAUGCCCCCAGAGCUUUGAACCCAGGUGCCAUUCAUUAUUUCUAUGCCAUCUGCCAGGCAUUGCAUAGCUAUUAUCUCAUUUAAUCUCCUCCUAAUCUUGUGGGUUGGUAUUUUCAUCCUUAUAUCAGAGACGAGAAAACUAAGGGUCAGAGAAAAUUAGCAAUUGGUCUAAAAUUGUACAGUUGUAACAGGAUCUAGAACAGGGACUUCAGUACAAGCCUCCCUGACCCCCAAGCCUGUGUUCUUUCUACUGUACUAGGCUUGGAAGACAGCGUACGUGAGAGCAAAGACAAGCUCUGUCCACUCUGUGCAUAUUCAGUGUAGGUGCUGGUGAGAUUCCCGCUUUCAGGUGUCCAUCAAGUGGUUGGAGACAUGGAGCCGAAUCUCAAGGACAUUGGGAGGAUUGAAGGUCAAGGCUUAAGAACCAUCUGCAUCCUCAUUUAUUUAUUCAGCAGCUAUUUGUUGUGUCUUCGUGGGCCAGCUUGGCAGCAUGAAUGCUGUGACCAACAAGAGAGGUGUGUCCUUCACGGAGCUGCCAGGCUGGGAGGGAGCCCUGAUGGCGUGGCUUGAGUGUAAGGCAGGAGGUGUGCAGAUUGGCUGUAGGAACUUACUGGCCUAACCUUGUCAGGUCAGGGAAGCUCUCUAGAGGCAGAUGUGGUUCUCAACAUGAGACUCAAAUGAUGAGGACCCAGAUAAAAAGUGGGAAAACAGCAUACCCCAGGCUGUGGAAGUAGCGCGUACUCAGGCAGAGCAAGAUAGGAACACAGUGUCUUUAAACCAAAAACCACGUGUGGCUGGAAUGGAGGGAAGAGCAAGGAGAUAAGACAGGUGAGCAGGAACCAGAACAAGAAAUGCCCUGGAAGCUGUGAGACGCUUGGAAUUCACCUGUGAAGAAAAGAGUAGCCUCAUCUGAAUUCCUUGCCUCGAUUAUGGUCUCCAAUAGAAGAUUAAAUGGCUGUGGAGUCUAGAGGUUUUUUCCUUCGGUGUGGGCAUCACCCCUUCUGAAAGGAUGGUGUAAUGGCUAAUUGUAUGUAUCAGCUUGGCGAGGCCACAGUACCCAGAUACUUGGUCAAGCACCAGUCUAGAUGUCGCUGUGCAGGUAUUUUUUUAGAUGAGGUUUUACAUUUAUAUCAGUAGAAGGAGUGAAGCAGAUUAUCCUUUGUAAUGUAUGUAGGCCUCAUAUAUCAUCAGUUGAAGGCCUUAAGAGAAAAAGAUUGAAGUCCCUAAAGAAGAAGGAACUCUGUCUCCAGACUCCCUUCAGACUCAAGACUGCAACAUCGGCCUGGCACGGUGGCUCACGCCUGUAAUCCCAGCACUUUGGGAGGCUGAGAUGGGUGGAUCGCUUGAGAUCAGGAGUUCAAGACCAGCCUGGCCAACAUGGCAAAAACCUGUCUCUAUUAAAAACACAAAAAUUAGUUGGGCAUGAUGGCAGGCGCCUGUAGUCCCAGCUACUUGGGAGGCUGCGGCAUGAGAAUCACUUGAACCCAGGAGGCAGAGGUUGCAGUGAGCUGAGAUCAUGCAACUGCACUCUAGCCUGGGCGACAGAGUGAGACUCUGUCUCAAAAAAAAAAAAAAAAGACUGCAACAUCAACUCUUCCCUUGGUCACCAGCAUGCCCUGAAGAUUGUGGAUUUGUCAGUCCCUGUAAUUGCAUAAGCCAGUUCCUUAAGGUAAAUAUCAGUAUCUACCCCCACCCCCACCACUCUCUCUCAAUCUCAAUCUCAGUCUCUCUCUCUCUCAAUCUCAAUCUCCCUCUCAAUCGCCCUCUCCCUCUUCCUCUCCCUCUCCCUCUCUCCCUCUUGGUUCUGUUUCUCUGGAGAACCCUGACUAAUGCAGAUAGGAAGAUAAAUAAAUUUAAGUUGUUUGGCUCCAGUUGAUAUUAGCAGAAAGCUGCAUCAGGCUUCUCUAGGUGUUCUUGGUGUGUGCGUAUAUUGCUUUUUGUAUAGAUGAGAAUAGUGAAAUAUAGAAGGGAUGUGAUGCACCCACAGUCAUGCCGACAGUUGAUGGGAGAGCCAAGGAGAAAACUCAAGUUUCAAACCUCUGGUGUAGUUCAGUCGCUUUCUUGCUAUUUGGCCCUCAUGUUUUUAUUAGCAAGGUAAUAAAGUUAUUGAGUUUGCCGUGCGUAAUUACUGGUAAUGUUUAUGGAAUGUUCUCUGUAUGUCAGGUGCUGUUUUAGUUGCCCUACAGGUGUUAGUGAUUUUAAUCCUUACAACUACCUAAUGAGACAGGGAAUAAUACUAUCCCAUUUUACAGAUUUUAAGCAAUGAGUCCAGUGAGCGAUGUGGUCAUUGCUACACAGCUAGUGAGUGACAGAGCUGGACUGAAGACUCAGGCAGCCUGGCUGCAGAGGUUGUGCUAUUGACUACUCCACCGCUUCUCAGCUUAAUGCCCCGAGCACAGCUUUUCAUCUCUCCCUUUGGAACCAUUGUCCAGAAUAUUUAUUAUGGUAGUGUGCUCUUGGUAGGGCUUGUAUUGAAAGAGAAAAUGCUUGUAAGUUAUUUUUCAAGAGACCAUCCGAUAAUGCUUCUUAGCUCCUUGAAAAACAGAAAACAUUCCCAUUACAGCAACACUGUAGACCACCUACUGGAGUAUAUUUUUAGCAACUAGACUUUGCUGUCUAGCCUAGUGACACUGGUGGGCAUCUGAUUUGCCCAGGGUCAUACAGGAGCGUGAUAAAGUGGUGAUAUGAGUUGGCUCCUGGUUCAGCAUUUUGGGGUGUGUUCUGGGGGAGAAAAUAGCAAACCUCUUUGUGUGUGUCCCUUGGAUCUUUGAGAGAACAAUCAUCAUAACUCCCAUUUAUUAGGUCUGUUGUGUGCUAGAUGCUGUUGUAAGUGCUUUAUAAACAUUGUCUCAUGGAAUCUUCUCAAUAGCCCCGAAAGGCUGGCAUUACCAUCCCAUUUUACAUAUAAAGUAAGCAGUGAUUAGGGAGUCACAUUUCCAAAGCAAGUAGCAGAACCAAGGAUUAAACCUCAUCUGAAUGACUCCAAGCCAGUGCUCUUGGUCACUUGGCUAUGUCUAUACUGGGUGUCUAUACUGGAGCUCUCUCUGUAUAUACUGGGUAUCUAUACUGGAGCUCACCAUUCUUCCCCAUAGACUAUGAACUCCAUAAGGGACUUUCUCCAUUGAUUCACCACCAUACUUCAGCACCUGCCAAGUACACUACCUGACACAUAGUAGGUACUUAAUGCAUAUACAGUCAUGCGUCAUUUAACAAUGGGGAUAGGCAGUUUUGUCAUCGUGUGAACAUCGUAGAGUGUAUAUACAUAAACCUACAUGGUAUAGCCUACUACAUCCCUAGGCGAUAUGAUAUGGCCCUAUUGCUCCUAGGCCACAAACCUGUGCAGCGUACAGUACGACUGUACUGAAUACAUUGUAACACAAUGGUAUGUGCUCAUGUAUCUAAACAUACCUAAACAUAGAAAAAGUAAAGCACUGCAGUGUGUUACAGUGGCUACAGUGUCACUAGGCAAUAGGAAUUUUCAGCUCCAUGUAAUCUUACGGGCCCACCAUCAUGGGUGUGGUGCACCAUUGACUGAAAUGUUAUGCUGCACAUGACUGUAUAUUGAGCGAAUAACAGACUCAUUGUGUUCUCUGUGAUCGCUUCCGAAUGGCGAGAGGGCCAGGGCCAAAGGGCACAGACCUUUGAGUGUGUUAUGGACUCAUGUGGGUUUAGCCUUCACGACAUAUAUGAAUAUAUCAUAAUGUGUGUAUCUAGUGUGUGAAUAUAUAUCAUAACUUAUCCACUUUAUGGAUAUCAUAAUUUAUCCAUUUUAGUGAUUCCAGGACAUUUUGUCUAUCUAUGCUUUUUUUUUUUUUUUGAAAUGGAGUCUCACUCUGUCACCCAGGCUGGAGUGCAAGUGGCACAAUCUUGGGUCACUGCAGCCUCUGCCUCCCCAGUUCAAGCGAUUCUCCUGCCUCAGCCUCCUGAGUAGCUAGGACUACAGGCACAUGCUACCACAUCCGGCUAAUCUUUGUAUUUUUAGUAGAGAUGGGGUUUCACCAUGUUGCUGGUCUCAAACUCCUGACCUCAAGUGACCUGCCCGCCUCAGCCUCCCAAAGUGCUGAGAUUACAGGCAUGAGCCACCGUGCCUGCCCUCUAGCUAUGCUUUAAGACAGGCCUAUCAGCCCAGACUGGAGUCAUGUAAUACAUGGCUCUGUCAGUAGCUCUCCUUCCCACAAAUAAAGUCUUGAUGAUCUUACACUCAUCCCUGCCAUUAGCAUUCAGGACCAAUCUUCUAUAGCCUAUACACCACACUGGUCUAGGACAGCACCUAAAUAAUACUCAUGCUAUAAAAAAUUCAUCAAGUUAUAUAUUUUUAAAAACAUCCCUAAAAUUAUCUUUUUCCUUUACUGAAAAGAAUUUCAGGAUUCCCUCUCUCUCACUGCCUCUCUUCACACACACCUACCUUAGUUGGUCACCUAUUUUGUAAACAUAUCUUCUUUAAAAAAAGAAAGAAAUGGCAGUACAUGAAAAACUGCUUCGUAAAAAGAAACUAUAUUAUUUAUAUUUGUAGCAUUUUUUUCCCCUUGAGGUUAAUUUCCUUUGCUUCCCAUAACUGGAAGCCAAUGAUGCAGUGCCAUUAUAUAAGCUUAUUUUCCCUCUUGGAAAUAGUAAAUUAUAAGAGGUUUGACCCAAAAAUAUACAUCAAAAUUAGGCAGUAUUUGGUGUUUAGCCUCCAUCUGCCUUGUCUUCUUGUCUUUAGUUGUGCAAGUAGAUGCUGAUGAUUUCUGGCAGAACUAAAGUAAGUAAAUCAUGUGAAUUUAUUUUUUUUCCUCAUAAAGCAGAUGGCAUGGUCUAGCUCUGGGCUUGUAUGUUUCAUGAAGUACAUGGGUCUGAGUGCAUAUUUAUUUUGUGAGCCAAGGUUUAUGCCUUCUUCUAUAAUUUUCUUUCACCGAAAAUUACCUGGAGAGCUAGAAACUCCAUUUUUGUCAGUGUAAGAAGCUUUAGAAUCUAUAUCCAGACCAAGGCCAUGGAACAAUGUAGAUUCACUCAGUAAAAACUCACUAGCGGCCUUCUUUGUACUAGUCUGUCACCUUUGCUUGGCUUUGGGAAGCUUCAAACUAGGGCAGUUUAUGUUUGGGAAUGACCAGUCAAAUAGCAAGACAGACAUAGGCAAGGAUGUAAUUUUUAAAAAUUUAAGUGGGGAAUGGUGAAGCAUGAAUCAAAACAGAAGGUAGUCUUACCUUCUUGGAACUGUAAAAUAAAUACAUUUGAAAAAGGCACCCUCUCAACCUUCUGCGAGUCAGAAUUUUUGCUGCCACCCCUCAUUUUGAAUCUCUAUUCUGCAUUUUUUAUUCUUUUUUUUAGGAAGGAGGAAGAAAAAUUUCUCCUGAAGAAUUCAUUGGAAAUUAAAAUUAACUUGCGUAUUUUGUAUUCUUUGGAAUGUGAUGAAGACUGAUUUGAAAGGGCAGUGCUGGAUUUGGUCAGGCAUAGGAAAGGAAGACAUGCAGUCGUCCUGCCUAGCUCAUCCCCGCCACGAUGGAGAAGUGGGGUUGCUUUCGUUGUACUUUUUUUCAUUUGUUUCUUGCCAAGCCCAGUGGCUUCUGUUAUAACAUGUGGCAGCUUCUCCCUUGGAGACUGAUUCAGUCCAAGUUACCAUAAUAUUUAGGACCAGCUACAGAGACGUUUCUUCCCCUAAACCCAUGCCAAAUCUAAAUCAAACUAUCUUCUUCUCCUUAGCCGUUCAAAUAGCUCCAGCUCUUAUAUAAAAAUACGAGAAAUACACAGGCCUCUUUUCGUUUUAUUCCUGUUCAAACAGAUAAACAAACAAGGCACAUCAUGCCUAGGUUGCUUUGAGCUUGAUCACUUCCUCCUAAAGCAGUCUUACGCUGUGUUGAUUUUAAGAAUUGCAACUUAGGUGUUCUAGAACAUAUUCUGAGAGCAUAGUCAUAGUCUGUGAUCUCAGAAUAUGUUUGCUUCCCCUUAGAACAUCUGAGUUCUAGAAAUUGCGUACAAUAAACUGCUGUCAGUGCUGCUGGAGGAAGGAAGAGUAACUCUGACAUCACUGGCCUUCAACAGGUGUGGCGCUGAGCUUCUGGGCCUCAGAAGCCCUGACUUCUAGAGGCUGGGGGCCAGCGGGGCAGGGAGGUGAUCUCAUCGUGGAUGGCCACAGAUCAUCCACCUGCCAAACAGUUAACCCUGAACAAGUCACAUCAAUUUAUUUUGCUUUUAAAAAAGAAAGUUUGCAAAAUAGAAAAAAAAAAAGAUUCUUCAUAAAUACAUUUGUUCUGAUCUGUAAAUACCCUGGUCAUUUCCCCCUUGGCAUUUGAUACACAUAGUAUAGACAUAUUUUAGUCAUCCUUGCUCAAGUAAUUAUAUUCCAUAACCAACUUUAUUAGCAUAAAUUAACUUCCUCAUAUUUUUAGCAAGAGUUACUUUCCUUCAUUGCUUAGCUUAUUGUUUUGAAAUAUGAAUUACUUCAGCACAGUUCAUUUUUGUGGAUGGCAUUUCUUUUUAAUUUGUAAUUAUUUGAUAUAUACAAAAGAUGGUAUGUAACAUACAAGUAAACUCUAAAGCACAAUUUUAAAGGUGCUCCAGUGAACCACCAUCCAACUUAAGAAUUGGCUCAUUACAAAUACUUGGAGAUCUCGCUAAGUAUCUUAUUCCUAGCAUUUUCCUGCUUUCCCACUAUUCCGAAAUUUGUAUUUAUAAUUAUCCUGAUUUUUAAACAAACAUAUAUUUUUAUCACAGUGUAAUGAGUAAAUGUGUGUUGCUAAAGGUAUUUUGAGACAUAUAAAAAUAGUAUCGGACUUUGCAUGGUCUUUUUGGAACUUGAGAUUUUCCUCCAUAUAUUUGCAAAAUUCAUCCAUGUUUUCAGGAACAGUUCCUUCAUAUUGCCAGAAUAUUCUAGUGUGUGAAUAUAUCAUAAUUUAUCCACUAUCUUAUUUAUUGAGGGGGGGUGGGAAACAAGGAGCUCUUUUUUUAGACAUGUUGAGUCUGAGAUCUCUAUUAGAAAUCCAUUGGAAAUGAUGAGCAGGCAGGUGGAUGCAGUUAUUCAGGAGAGAUGACUGAGAUGGAACUAACAGCGUGUAGAUGGCAUCUAAAGCAUUGUCUUCCCAACUGUUCUUAGAAUGAUGGGCCUGGGCCGUUUAGCCCAUCAACUGAGAUUUUUGUGUUAACAGUUUUUUGUUUUUUGUUUUUUAAUUUCUUAAAGGUCUAUCUGGUGUUUUUUGUUUGUUUGCUUUUCCCCAAAUCUGCCUGGUCACUUUGUUCAAGUGUGACUUGUAAGGGAGUAAACAAGGAGAGUAUGAGCUUCAAAGAAAAUGGGGGGAAGUAUUUUGCCAGCUCUCAUGGAGUUUUGUGAGAUCCAAAAGAAAUGCUAUAUGUAAAUUUGCUUUGUAAACUGAAAAAAGUUAUGCACUCAAUUAUUAUAUUUGAUGAUGGCACCUUGUUGGGUUCUGGUUAAUGCCUCAUAUUCACUGAGUGCUUACUUUGUCUAUAUUAACACAUCUCAUCUUUAUAACAAUCUGUGAGAAGUAGGUACUGUAGAUUCAUAUUUUACAGAGGAAAGUACAGCUUAUCAAUGGUAGACCCAGGAUUUGAAUUCAUAGAGUCUGCUUCUAGGAGCUGUGUUCUUAGCUCCAAUGCUAUGCUGUCAUAUUGAUUUCCUGCCUGCCUUCUCCUUCCUUCCUUCUCCCCUCCCUCCCUUCCUUCCUCCCUUCCUUCCUUUCCUUCUUUUUUUUUUUUUUUUUUGAGAACGGGGUCUCACUCUGUCACCCAGGCUGGGGUGCAGUGGCAUGACAAUAGCUCACUGUAGCCUUGACCUCCUGGGCUCAAGUGAUCCUCCUGCCUCAACUUCCUGAGUAGCUGGGACUACAGGCACAUCCCACCAUGCCUGGCUAAUUUUUAAAUGUUUUGUAGAGAUGUGGUCUCCCUAUGUUACCUAGGCUAGUCUCAAACUCCUGGACUCAAGUGAUCCUCCCACCUUGGCCUCCCAAAGUGCUGAGAUUACAGGUGUGAGCCACCACACCUGGCCAUAGUGUCCUUCUUUAAAUGACAGGUUUCCUCCCACUCCUUCAGCUUCAAGAGUACACACAUUUUAGGGUCACAUUUCAGCAUGUCCACCUUGAACCCAGCUACAAAAAUCCCACCCCAGGCAGUGGGCCCCCAGCAAAGGGCCGUGUGUGCUGACCUAGUUUCACCACCGAGCCCAGCCCCAGACCUCACAGGGCACUGCUCACCUGCCAGGUGCCCACUCUGUGCUUGCUGAAAAUGGUGUCUUCUUGAUUUCACUUAUUUGCCUGAAGCCACCCAAUAAGUCAGUAGUGGGCCAGAGAAUAGAAACCAAGUCUCCUGCCUUUCAAGUGUCACAUUUGUUUUGUGUUAAUAAGCUAUAUACCUCCAGGGGAUCUGGCAGAAAUCUGAAGGUGGUUAAUUUUACUGCAAUAAAUACUUAAGAAUCCUUUUUAAAGCAAAGAAGUCAAGCCCCCACCAGGGAAAACACAAUCUGCUCUGAGGGCCUUUGACAAACUGACAUGGGCACUAGGACUAGGUCAUGGAUCAUUGGCCCUUAAUUCUGUCUCCCACUGAGCAUCCCAAAGGGGUUGAGACCUCUGCUGGAGCCACUAGGCUUCAGCCGGACCUGGAAAUGUUCUCGCAAAUGAAACUGGAAUGCAUGAUGUCCUGGAUUCAGCGGGUCACAGCUGACUGCCAUCAGGAGGUGUGACGGAGAAGGUUCCAUUUCUGCGACCCUGUGGUGAUACAGGUCAGGACCCAGGCGAAUUAGCUCAGCCAUCUGAAUUGGCACCUCUCUGCUUUUCUCGCUGAGUGACUGGUGCCUUGCAGUUGGCUUCAGAUGUUUGUGAAUGUGCUGUGUUUCCUAAAGCCAUGUCACUCAGGAAGAAGAUGCAGGUAUUCAGGAGGAGGGAGAAGAAAAUCUGAAUUAGAAACAACGUGAGGAUGGAGAGCACAGGGAGGGAUGGGUUACCUUUGUCAUCAGAAAAACGCCAGGCAGAUUUUAGUCCCUCAGCUAAUAAUACUAUUUGAAAAAUUGAUGGAGAAAUUUAACUGGAAGGUUUCAGCAAGACAAAAGCUGCAUCUCCAAGGCCGGACUCAGCGUGUUCAGGUGGGAACUGGGUGUGAGUGUAAUUGUCAGAGGGGAGGGUUGUCACAGGAGGUGCACGAUAUGAAGAGUCACAAGGGGACGCAUUAUUUCCAUGAGUUCUCACAGUUCCCAGGGCAGCCACAGAUGGUAGUGGUUUAUGUCUGUCUCUGCCUUGACAGAAGGGCAGUAGGCAGUUGUGGCAAGAAAAACGGACCAAAUGAGGGCUGCACUCAGCAGGUUAAAUUUGCUGUCUGUUAGUGUUCCUAGGUGAGAUGCUUCAAAACUAGAAUGCUCUGCUGGGACUUUUAUUUCCCUUAGAAAUAAAAGGCCAGGCGUGGUGGCUCAUGCCUAUAAUCCCAGCACUUUGGGAGGCCAAGUCGGGCAGAUCACCUGAGGUCAGGAGUUCGAAACCAGCCUGGCCAACAUGGCAAAACCCCAUCUACUAAAAAUACAAAAAUUAGCCGGGUAUGGUGGUGGUGGGCGCCUGUAAUCCCAGCUACUUGGGAGGCUGAGGCAGGAGAAUCACUUAAACCUGGGAGAUGGAGGUUGCAGUGAGCUGAGAUCGUGCCCCACUGUACUCCAGCCUGGGAAACAGAGUGAGACUCCAUCUCCCAAAAAAAAAAAAAAAAAGUUCUUUGUUCACACUUUCUCUGCGCUGCUGCAAGUGACUUUGGUGCCGUUUCCUGCAGCCUGUGUCGGUGGCUGGGACUUUCUCGACAGCAAGGCAGGCCGUGCAUGAGGCCUAUAGGACCCAGGGCUGCCUCCCAAUGCUGACGCCCCUGCGCUGUGUGAGCUUGGGUAAGCCAGUUCGGCUCGCUUCACCUCAGGUUCCUUGUUCCUAUGUGGACAGGUUGCUCGUUUGGAGGAUUAAUAAUGAUGGGGAAUGCAAAGUGUGGUUGGUUUUGCUGGGGAAAAGAGCAGGGAAGUGGAGACCUAGGCAGGUGAUGUCACCUCUCUGAUGAACUCCAAGGUCUCUGUCAACACCGGUGCCCUUGUCCUGACAUUGCGGGGUUUGUGGCAUGAUUGGAGAGACCUUGCGUGCUCUCUGGGCAGCCCUUGUUAGUGCCCCCCAACUAGCUGGGAGAUCCAGAGUUUCAUGAGAACCCUCCCUCCGUGACAAAAUCCGCCUUCCUCGCUAUCAGGCUCAGGUUGUCCUGUGCCCCCACUGAGCCUGCUCAUUAUUGAUUAAUGAACUUGUAAAAUGAGAAGUAUUGUUUUACCAGAAGCUACAUGUUUAUGUGGUUGGUAAAAAUGAGAAGAGUUGCUUGAGAACUGGUUCUCCUUUCCAUGAGUAUAUACAAGGUUCAAAUCUGGGCUUUGUGGUUAUAAGACAUGUUGAGUGAAUAAAAAUGAAGGAAAUGCUGGGCAUUUAUCACAAUUUUUUUUUUUUUUUUUUUUUGAGACAGGGUCUUACUCUGUCACCCAGGCUGGAGUACAGUGGCACGAUCUCGGCUCACUGCAGUCUCCACCUCCCAGGUUCAAGUGAUUCUCAUGCCUCAGCCUUCCGAGUAGCCGGGAUCACAGGCGUGGGUCACUGCACCCGGCUAAUUUUUGUAUUUUUUGUAGAGACAAGCUUUCGCCAUGUUGGUCAGGCUGGUCUCGAACUCCUGGCCUCAAGUGAUCCAUCCGCCUUGGCCUCCCAAAGUGCUAGGCUUACAGGCAUGAGCUGCUGCGCCUGGCCUUUCACAAUUCUUAAACUGUUGACUUACAGAAACACAGGCCUGUAUGAACACACAGAUCACUUUAGAGGUCCGUCUCAGAACUACCUGCUGUCAUGAGUGAUGUACAGAUAAAACAUGGAAGAUCUAGAAACUAGUCAUUCCUAAUCUCUGCCAUAAGUAAACAUUUUAGUUUAAUGUUAAAAGGUCACUCAGGGUUAUUGUGAGAUUUGAUGAGAUCAUGGCUACAAGGAACCUUUAACUGUAUGAAUGAAAAAUCUAAUGAAACUGCAAAGUCACUCCUAUUUACUAAAACCAGUGUAGUGGCUGUUUCUGCCUCUUUUCUUUCCCUCCUCCCUUCCCUUUUCUUCUCUGUUCUUUCUGUCACUUUCCUCUCACUUUCCUCUCCCUUCUACCUUAUUUUUUUCUUCCUUCUCCUUCCUCUCUUUCUGGCAUUAGCAGUUUGUUUGUUUGUUUGUUUGUUUUUGUUUAUUUUGAGACCGAAUCUCGCUCUGUUGCCCAGGCUGGAGUACAGUAGCCCAAUCUCGGCUCACUGCAACCUCCACCUCCCGGGUUCAAGCCAUUCUCCUGCCUCAGCCUCCCGAGUAGCUGGGAUUACAGACGCCCGCCACCACACCCAGCUAAUUUUUGUAUUUUUAGUAGAGAUGGGGUUUCACCAUGUUGGCCAGGCUGGUCUCAAACUCCUGACCUCAGGUGAUCCGCCCACCUCAGCCUCCCAAAGUGCUGGGAUUACAGGUGUGAGCCCCCACACCCGGCCCUGGCAUUAGCAGUUCUUACACAAGAACAGCGUAGGCAUGAAUCCUGCCUUCAUGGCACUUACACACUAGCAGAGGAAUCUGGCAGCAAAUAAGCACACAAAGGCAGCUGCAGGGUAUGAUGUGCCGUGACGUAAAGGGACAAACACCGUGAGAGUCUAACUAAAGCCUGGCAUGUGUCAAUCCUGUGUACCUAUUCAGAAACUAGGGUUCAUGACGGUGCUUCUGUUGUUACCUAUUAGAAGUAGCUUUGUAAGCACAAAGAUUGUAGUUUUGUGAAGCUAUGUAGUACAGAGUCACUCUGGAAGGUUAGCAUUAUAGAGUUUUUUCAUAGAAAGGAUGGAUAGAUAGAAGUUUUUCCUAACAAGCACAAGUGGCAGUCUUUGAAAACUAAUUUUUUGUGUGUACAUUGUAGGAUUGGAAGAUAACUGUGGUUGAGUGUGAUAAACUGAAACUUUUUUAAAAAUCUAUUAUUAUUUUUUACAAGUUAAGUUAGAGCCAGAUAUGCUGAUUCUCUAUCAUUUUCAAAAGAGGAAUUGGAAAAGGGAGAGCUUGUUUAUGUGGUAUUCACAAUAGCGUCUGCUCCUGAAGAAAAUUUUUGGAAAAAUCUCAUGAGUGUCCUCAGACUGAAAACAGGGAUCCAGUCUGUUGUUCAUGCAGGACUCAGGAGGCGAGCGAGCAUGUGAUACCAGGAAGGGUCCCAUCCCUGCCCUGCUGGGGAGCCCUCAGUGGCGAGGUGGCGAGUUCAGGCUUCACUUCAGAGCAUGGAUACUGCUGCAUAGGUGCUGGAAGGGUGCUGCAUGGGUGCUGGAAGCUGCUUGGCAUAGUGCAUGUCCUGUUUCCUGCCACUUGGAAAGAGGACUGUGGAAGUCAGGUCUUCCCAGUCCUCACCAGUGAAGCAAGCAACGAAUGCCUUCAGUCCAGGUAAUAUGUCCAGGCUUUAAAUUCUCUGGAUCUGUCUUUGGAUACCCUGGGAAAAGUCUUGUCUCUUCUUAGGCCCUUCUGACUAAAAGCAGCCAGGACUUUUAAACUGACUAAUUUUUAAAGAUUUCCAAAUAGAGAAAAUUAAAGCAAAAAUUUAUGAAGGCUGAAAAUGAUCUUUCCAACUUUUCUCAUUCAGAGUAGAACACUGGAGCAUUGAAAGUUUGUUCAUGUUUGUGAUUGAUCACAUAUUUAAAAAAUUGUAAAAUAAAGACCUUACUUUAAUGUUAAAAGUUCACUUCAACACCAUCAUUUCUACGAGGUUCUAGGUCUUUUGUGAACAAAUUAAAUAUAGUGCUUUCUUUAUAACAUGAAUUAAAUCUAGAUCCCAAUGAUAUUUGGCACCUUCUAAAUACCCAGAUGGCCACUGCGUUUGCCUUGAAGUGAAGACGUGUGUAGAGUUUUAAUCACAUGUUUUAUUUUUUCUCUUUUAAAUAUCGCCUUUUCAAUAGUUGCUUGUUAAUGAAUGACUGAUUGUUUACUGCAGUUUAUAAUCAGGAAUUUGAACAUUAAAAAAUUCUAAUCAGGAUACAGGUUAAAAAACACUUUCCCUCUCAUUCUCUCUUUCCUUAUGCUAGAACAAUAAAAAUAAAUUGUCCUCCCCUUGAAAACAUAGUAGUUUAAGAAAUUUUAUCAUUCUCUUCUUGAAAACUUAAGUUUAAUAAAACAGUUCAGAGGAAACUUAAUUAUAGUUCUUAUACUAUAAAAAGCUCUUAUAAAAACAGGGGUAGGGCCACAAUAAAUUUCACCUCUUGAGCAUAACCACCACUUGAAAAAGAAAGAUGUAGUUAAACAAUUAUUUUUGCUUUAUCUUCUCCAUUGUUUAAUGCCUGAACAUACUUGGAUUUUUUAACAGCAGGAACAAGACAGAAGACUUUGUUAGCUACCCAGGUAAGAUCAUUUGAGUCCAAAGACCAGAUUCCAGAACAGACCGCAGAUUCCUGUUGAGGACAUGGGUUGUCAGGACAGCCUGGAGGCAGAGGGGUAGAUUCUGUUGUAGGUGUCGUAAGUGACAUUUUGGAUCAGAUUUUUUAACCCUCUUUUGUUUUUGAAAGUGAGUAAAUAUUCAUAGCAGAUUAUUCUCAUGAAACAAGACUGACACUAUGACCUCAGGGAAAGAGUGCUUUGGGGGGAACUGCGUAUUUAAUUAAGCAAAGAAAGAGCUGAUGAAAGGGGCUGAGUGGCUCAGAGCUGUUGUUUCUUCUGAUGAAUUUUUCCACAUAGGAGCACAGAAGUCCUGAGAACACUGCCUCUCUAUAUGUUGUGCUCGGUCCACACACUGCCAACAAAUGUGCAUACACACACACACGCACACACCUCAAAGACAACCCCUCCAGCCUAUGGUUUUCCUGAAUUAGCUUUCCCAAAGUACCUUGAGCACUAUGGGUUCAGACUGGGGUUUGGGUUUGGUGACAGCUGUCAGUGCUCCAAAGGCAGAGGACUGAACUUAGGGCAAAUCUGUGGCAACAGAAAGCUCUUUUCUGUUCCAUGAAAGUCAUGGAUGAUGCUUUCAGAUCCUGUCUGCAAAUUGCCCAACAUCGCAUUGAUAAUGGAAACAAAUGAUCUGACACUCACAUAGCUAAAUAUAAUUUGGAAUUUUGAUGUGAGGUUGAAACAUGAAAGAUCAUGCUUUUCAAACUGCUGUGAUGACUUACACAGACAAUUCAUUUUAGAUAAUGGUGAGUUAAGCCUGGCAGCCUCUGAGCGUUUUUCACUCAUUUGUUCAAACACCUGCAGUUGGGUACUGAUGCACAUGUUUAAUUGCUUAAACUUAAAUUAUAAAAUCCCUAAAAGGAUGUUUUUCUCCUAGAAAAUAAGUCAGGUCUCUUGCAAAGGCUGCCUGCUUUCAUGAGCUUCUUGUAUUUCCCGGGAUGCUUAUGCGCCAGCCCCUGUUAGAAAAGGUCUGCUUUUAAACACAGGAAGUUGAGCCCUUCAGGGAAAGUGCCGAUGUCUGAACCAUCAGCAAAAUCACUACACCCAUUCCCUGGGAAGUCUAGUUCAUCAGAAACAAGUUUAAUUCAGGAACUGUAGUUUAUCCAGGUUCCGUGAAGGCAAUUAGCACUGGGCAAAGGGCUGUUUGAUCAGCCUAGAGAGAGACCGCCUUUACGCCUAAAGCUCCAGUCAUUUGUCUCUACUCCCGCCGACUCGCAGCGGCCACAGAAGACAUCAGAACUGGAUGAAAAUGGCCCUGCCCCUGCGACAGGGCAGGGCGCUUCUGGCUUGCGCCUUGUUAUUUGUCCCUUCAGUGGUUCCUAGCUGUUGUGACGUCAAGGCUGCCAUUCAGAGCACAGAAAAAGGAAACCAUGGCCUCUCUUCGCAUCAGUAGCCCGGACAAGCUGUUGUUUCUCAGGCAUCCAAAGCGCUUUCUGUCUGGCAGAGCUGUGCAUUCCAUGCCUGGGUGACCUGGUUAAAUGGAGGAAACCAAAUGCUAUCCGCUGAAUGCUCUCCAAAACAAGCAUUCCACCCUGCGCGUCUCAAGCACAGGCUUCACUGCCUCCGAGGACUGUGAAGGGAACAGCAGCACUGCCUGCAUUUGCUGCUGGCAUAUUCAGCUUCUGGUCAGGGUCUUAAAGGAGAAAAUAACAUCCUCAAUGGCCUCGAUUAAUGCACACUCACCAACGUGUUUGUGCUGCCUUUGGGGUCAGUGCUACAAAAUCCUUUUUUAAAAAAGGAUUAGGAAUCACAGUCAGAAGUUCAAAACUGCUGAACUGCCACCUCUUCCUUCCUGUCUCACUUCGGCUCACGCCAUUCCCCAAUUUCAGGUUUCUGAAUUCCAGAAAGGCUCUUGUGUAUGUGAACAUAUUAAUCUUGCACCAUGCCUUACUGAACGUGUGUAUGUUUUGCACACACAUGAGAAAGACUCACAAGUAUAAUGCGUGGAUCACAACUCUAGGGUUUUCUCAAUGAAGAGUAACACCUUAUGCUUUUCAGAGAAAAGGGGCUAUUUCACAGUGUCACAGAACUCUCUUUAGGAGCAAGCGAAGAUCUCUGUAGCAAACAUCAAUCCUGCAAGGCCAAAAGCUCACUAAUAAAGUUCUGAUCACUUAGAGUGACUGCCUAAGAAUUGACCAACUUCAGACUAAAUUUUCUGAGGACAUACCUUCUUGGGUUUCUUUCUGGCAUGAGAGACUAUUUUAUUAGAUUCUUGGAUUCAAUUAUAGUCACCAGAAAAAGCAAGGUUAUAACAACCACGCUUUGUGUUCCAGAGUUGUCUUAGUUAACUCAGUAUUCAUUUGAGGUUUUAUGUUACAAAUCCCAUUAAAUCUUUCUCAAAAUAGCCCUUCUGUGAACAUUUGAUGGAAGAAUAUUUGCAGGAACCAAAACCAUUUGAUACAUACACACCAGUAUAUGUCAGGAAGGAUCGUGAUACAGGGGUGCCUUUUUAAAGUGGGUUAUUAUACGACAGAAUUCUUCCAGGUCCCUGACUCUUGUCUUCUGAAAAAAAAAAAAAGUGGAGAUCUUCAGAGGACUGGAUAAAGACAGAAUGGAUGGGGUGAAUUAUGUAAAGUUAGGAUUUAGACUGAGGGUUUACAGGGCUGCAGUCUCGUUUUGCCUCAACAGUCAGACUUGCCCAGGGUCUGGCCUAAUACCAUACAAAUGUCAUAUCCACACUGGCAUUGAUACAGUGGUGGGAAUGGGGCAUGGGGGUGAUGAGUAUAGCUUCUUGCUGAGUGCUCUGGUCUCGGUGAGCCUGAGAUCUUGAGAGAAAAACUAGGACAUUAUUUCCAUCGUGGGCUGAAGAAUUAGUUCUGCUACUUGCAUAUCAGUUAAUCCUUUUUUUUUUUUUUUUUUUUUUUUUUUUUUUUUUUUUUUUUUUUUUGCUAUUACUACCAUUUCAGGAGGUACUUGUUAUCUGAAGAUAACUGAUACAGGACCACUACUGCUGUUUUAAGAGGAUUGACUUAAAACUGAAUCACACAUUUAAAAACAGUCACUUUUUUUUUAAAGAUCUUAUUGGGACUAAGUCCUGAAAAAAAUAAAACUAAAGUUGAAGUUUAGUUUGUUUUAUAUAAUAGAAAUUUGGGAUAUGAUGCAACAGCAUGUUAUUUCUUAGAAGAAAGAUUGAAUGUUGACUUCUAAAGCAGAAUCAUAUAAAGAAGAUGAUUUUUGUACAAGCAUUCGAAUUUCCCCAAAGGCCUCUCUUAAUCUUUUGAUAUACAAACCAUUCUCUUGAAGAGUCUACCUCUCCUGUAAUCACCUCUGUUGACUUUCUCUUCAAUUGUUAACUGUUGAAACUGUCUUUCAUCUUGUCAGUGACCCUAUGUGACUCAUGCAGUUUGCUGGUAUCAUUUUUAUCAACUGUGUGAAAAUCUGCAAUUCCACCUUACAAGUGAGCUACAUUGGAUUUUCAUUUUAUUCUAUGACAUUAUUCAACCAAGAAAGUGAGCAAGAAUCGAUGCUGAUGUUAAUGAGGACUAAUAAUAAGUGAUCACUGUAUUUGUCAAUAUUUUUAUAUGAUGAUGACCUUUGCUUCCUUAUGCAACUUGGUAACUACAGGGAUUCAGAUAAUGAUUACUCGAGUAAUGAAUCCCCACCCCCUGCCAAAUAGUAUGUUGUAUUUAAAGUACUCAGUAUGGUUUAGUGGGCUUUAUAAUCAACCACAUGUAGAUUUGGAAGCCACCCCUGACACUUCACUGAGUUCUAUAACCUUGAGUGUGCUAUUCACAGAACCUAAGAUUCUUGAUCUUUUAUGUAGAGUAACAAAACCAACCUUGCAUCAUGGUCAUGAGGAUUAGAACCCAUAUGUAUAAAACCCUGAGUAAUACCCUGUGCAUGAGUUUAAGAAAUAGUCCUGUCCUCAUUAGCGCUGUGAUUGCUUUUGUGUGGUACCUUACAUUUUAUAUGAGACUUUUACACUUAUUUUAUUUAAUUCUUUAUAUAAGCCCAGAAGCUAGAGAGCUUAAGUUUUACCCUCUAGACAUUGCAAAGUCACAGAAAAUUUUUGAGGAAUGCAGCGACAUGAAUUUUACUACAGUUUAGAAGACCACAGCUGGGGACUCUGUAUGACCCGCAUCAGCUAAUACCAUUUGAUAGCCAUUUUUUUCAUGGCAUAGGUGAGAACACUAAGGCCCAAGGAUAUGAUGUACUUUCUUGGCAUCACAUGGUUUGCUUCUGGCACAGCCAAGCCUAGAACCCAACCUUCCUACUGCCUGCUGUGUUUCUUCACCACCCAGUUGCUCCUUGGCAAGUGAACCAAUUACAAAGGCUGUCUUACUUGUCCAAGGACAGAGAGAAAGGUGCAUCCUGGGUGACUGGAAAUGGGAGUGGGAGGGAGAGGAUGGAGGCAGCAGACAUUGAAAGUAAGUAUUGACUAGACUUGGUGACAGAAUGGCUCAGCUCGGCUCAGUGAAGAAGGGAGUCCAGAGGCCAAACUUUCAACCCUGGUGGGAUGGCUAUACAGUUAAGUAAAGUAAAAUCAGUAGAAUGGUGUUGGUUUUUUUGCUUCAUGAUGAAUUUAAAGGGACUGCCUUAUCCAGAUAGAAAUAUGUUAAAGAUAUAGGUAGGAGAGGUAGCUACCAUUAAAGAUACAGAUUUGAGAUUAAUGCCACAGAAGGAGAGCUGAAACCACUGUACUACAUAUAACCGUGUGUGUGUGUUGCACAUGUGUGCACACGCACUUGUGUUAAACUGGAUUUGUUGGCGUAUCUCCAAUUCAAACCUGGGUCAGGUGAUUAUGUUGUAACUUACUGCCCAGUUAUAAUCACAAACUGUUACACCUUCAUCAGAAGGAAGAGCGAGUUCCCUAGAUCAGUGUGUUUGUGUGUUUGUUUUGUUGGAUGGAUCCUGCCGAGGCACUGAGAGACAGACUUUGCUGGGCCCUGUUUUGUAAACAAAUCUGUUCACGCACGCUUUCUUCUAUCAUUGGAUGUGUACACUGGCUCUGAUUUUCCCACCCGACACGCCAAAGCCUAAGCAUUUAGAAGCUUGUUUUCUUUUAGAAGUAGGCAGGCACCAAAGAAAAACCUGCACAUGCAUUUAAAGUGUGCACAUCUACCCUAAGUCAGUCUUUGGAUCUUUACAGUUUUAACUCUGGGCCAUGUACAGUGUAUUUCAGCCCACUACACACGGCAGACCUGCGAGACGUCCUGACAGCCCCCACAAAACUAUGGACUGAGCUUAGUGCAAAAGAGAAAGCCCUUCUUACCCUUAAAGUUCAUUGCACGGGCCAUUGUGGGAUUAGUCACCCCAGAUGAUAAAACAUAAUACUGGUUUUCCUAAGUAGGGGUGAUUCAGCUUUCUCUUAGAUUGGAAUAUGAACUUAAUGUAUAUAAUACAUCCAGUCACUUCCUGAACUUGUAGUUUUUUGCAUGUUUUAUUUAAUAUUCUAGCCAGGUUUAAGUUUUUAUGGCAGGAAGUAUGUGAAUGGUUAUGACAGGAGUAAAUAACAUUUGAUUUUAUGAUUACAGUACAGGAAGUAACUUUUCACACCAAAUAAAUCUUUGGGAAAAAAGUGCUGGCUUAUAAAUUUAACGUACAUAAAUUUUCCAGAAUCUUGCAUACAGUCGCCUGUGCUCUCUUAAAUGGAACUAAAUACCUGGCUGGUCUUUUUUCUUUUAACUUUUUUUUGUCAACGAAUGUCUUUGUUUUAGAAAGAGGCAUUUUCAAGUGUUUUGAUGUGACCCAACGUGACCUAAAACCAUUAAAAGAUUCUAAGCAAAAAUAAUAAGGCCAAACUUUAGUGUAAAUAGCAUGAAAGGCUUGAAAACUAAAUAAAUUAUUUUUUCCUUUAAGAGUAAAUAGCUAGGCUAGGCAUGGUAGUUCAUACCUGUGAACCUGUGAACCAUUGCUUUGGGGGGCUGAGGUGAAAGGAUUGCUUGAGCCCAGAAGUUCAAGACGAGCCUGGGCAACAUAGCAAGACCCCUUCUCUAUUUAAAAAAAAAAAAUAGCCAGAUGUGGCACACACCUGUAGUCCCAACUACUCAAGAAACUGGGGCAGGAGGAUCACUUGAGCCCAGGAGUUUGAGGCUGCAGUGAGCUAUGAUCACGCCACUGUACGCCAGCCUGGGCAACAGAGCGGGGGCUCUGUCUUAAAUGACCAGAUCAUUUUUCAUCAUUAAAGCCCGGGAAGCCUCCAAACUGCCACCGAAGCAAGUUCCUUCCAGUGACUCCUAUAGCCAUGAUCUGCAGGCACUUGGGAGGAACAGCCUGUUAACAUCAGAGAGGCUGUUGCAUGUGAACAAGUUUACAGAGAAGAGGAAAGAAUUGGAUAGAACUUCAGUUACAUUUCAUCGUAAGCAGAGCUUUAACAGAGGCUUUGGUUUUCCUUGAAUAAAAAAAUGAAUAGCGGGAAUACAAGAUUUAGAAAAGAUUUCUUUCUUCACCCUUUUCAUCUUAAAGCCUAAAGAUGUUGUAAUGAGAAAAAUAUUGUGACAUUCCUUUCUGAAGGUUACUAUUACACACACGUGAAUUAUGUGAACGAAUGGGUGGAUGCCUGGCAGAUUAAAAUGUAGAGUUCCAGAUGCAUUCAUAACCACCAUGUGGCUAUGACACAGUGGCACAUCAUUGGGCUGGGAGUGAAAGGAUGAAGGUUCAGACUUCAGCCCUGUGUCUGGGAGUCUCACCCAACCACCCUGACGGAAAACAGGAUCUCUGAAUCCCUUCUACCUCUACAACUCGUUACCACACAUUGUGCAACUAAGUAACUUGCAAGUUAUGUGAAACUGUUUUCACAGGAUCAGCAGAGUUACCACUGCUUCGUUGUCCUGAAUCUUCAUUACAUUUUUACAGACAAUAUAUUUGCAUGUGACAUGGUUAAAAAUCUACCUUGUGUUUUUAUGGUCUUUGUAGGUUUUAAGGUAGUUUCUUAUAUGCUGUUUUCCUUGCUGUGCAGCCAACCUGGGUGUUACUGGCAGACAUGCUGAGGGCAGGCUCUGGAUGUGGAGUCAAGGUCAGGCUCCCUGGCUCUGAAUCCUGGCUCAACCACCUACUGAUUGUGUAACCCUGGGCAUGUCCUUAAGCACCCAGGGCCUCAGUUUCCUUAUCUGUAGGAUGAGGAUUAAAAAUAGAACUUACCUCCAGGGCUGCUGUGAAGAUUAAACGAAUGGACGGAUGUGUAGCUCGUGGUAGCGCCUGAGCUGGCCCUGCAUGUCAGUGUGCUGUUCUCGCUGAUGAUGAAACUGGCUUAGCGAGGUUGGGUGAUAGGCACAAGAGCAAAUUAGCAAAAAAGAUGAGCCAGAACUCAAACAUGGCCUUAGGACUUCUCAGUGGCUGGUGCCCUUCCGUUGUGAGACCACUCUCUCUCCUGCCUAUAAAAGUGCCACGAAAGAGUGCGCUCCAUUUCAUUGUUUAAAAGAGAACUGAGUAAAUGUUAAACAUGAAGGACAUUUGUCACGGGGUUUUACUUUGUUCGGAGAGGGUGGACUCUAUAACUCUUGAAUGGUGUCCACAGCAUAGCAAGGACCUGGACAGCCUCCAUGGUUUCAUCACAUUCUCAACAUCCAGCCUUAGAAAUAGCUCCCUUUAGGUCCCCAAAUUAACAGGAGUUUCUAAAGGAUAGCAGCUUUUUUGCAACUGCUGCAUCUGUUAGAUUCAUGUUCUCUUUGCUCCCCUCUCCCCAAGCUUCUAUUUCAUGAUCUUUUUGUUGUUUUGCUCUACUUUUCCUCUUUUUAAAACCUCUGCAUUGGCCACCCAGGAUUUAAGAGGAACUUUUCUGGAAAGCUGUCUGAAACAGGAACAAAUUACACAGAAACACUGAGAGCUGUGAACUUGUGUGUAUACCUGACAUAGUGGGAGAGGGGGGCUUCCUUCUAAGUAAUAGAGAAGAGUGAAUAUUCUAAUCAUUGAGUAGUGGUCAGGCCUGUAAUCACUGCUUUUUCUUUUGCUGAGCUCGGUAUCAACGGACAAGCUCAAAAAUUGUAGCUAUUUAAAAUUACUCUCCAUGUAAAGGGUUCCUGUUCCUUUGAUCCUAUCACAGACGAUUCCUUUUUUUCUAUUGAGGAGGUUCAUAAGAUCUCGUGGGCAAGGGCUGAGGAGAUGACUAUUGCACAGUGUAGUUGUUUUAAAUUAAAAAUUUACCUCUAGUUAUAGGUGCUACUUUUUACUCACCCUCAAUUUGGAGAUUACAUCAUGCAGGCUGGGCACAGUGGUUCAUGCCUGUAACCCCAGUGCUUUAGGAGGCCAAGGCGGGAGAAUUGCUAAAGGCCAGGAGUUAGAGACCACCCUGGGCAACAUAGCAAGGCGUCAUCUCUACCAAAAAAAAAAAAAAAAUUAUCUGGGCAUGGUGGUACUUACCUGUAGUUUCAGCUACUCUGGAGGCUGAGAUGAAGUGAGACCCUGCCUCUAAAAUAAAUAAAUAAAUCAAUUAUGUAUAUCAGGCAAAUGAUUUCCAUACUCUUCUUGUUAAAAUAUCAGUUUGGUAAAGAUGGUAAAAGCUUAUCACAUCCCAGGAAGUCGAGGCUUCCGUGAGCCAGGAUCACACCACCGCACUCCAGCCUGGGCGACAAGAGUGAGACCCCGUCUCAAACAAACAAACAAAAAAAGUGAAAAUUCCCUUCCAGAAUUUCACAUCCAAAAAUGUGAAAUAAAAGAUUUGGGGUCUAAGUGGCAAAGUGCUGCCGUGUUUCAAGUUAAGGGCUUCCAUGGAUUGUGUGAUAAAUACAGGUGUGAAUUUGGGUGAUUUGUUUUAUUCUUCAGUGCCCAUUAAGUAGAAGCUUGUAUUUUCCUCCUUCCCCCUUCAAGAGCCCCCCUCCCCACCAUGCAGGCACAUGGAGGCCCCAAGUUGGAAGCAAAUUCACAGCCUGAAGCUGAAGGACAGGCUCUGAAAAAUCUUUCUUUCAGCAAAACGUCUACUAAUCUCAGAAAGUGAGCUUUGUCACCAUUGAUACUCUGUAAGGUGGGAUGAAAGCAAGUUUUCUUACUCAUUUUGCCCAGUUGUCAAGAAAUGCUGCUCUUCUCUCUAACAUAAAUUAACAGGUUUGGCUACAGCCUAGAGAAAUACAAAAUGUCACAUUUUAGCCUUAGUGGCCGGUUUUCAAAGGGUGCCUGAGUGUGAACACCAUGUCGGCUGCUCUGUUAGUGUGGCUGGGUCUCAUAAAUAGGUAUUUUUCUACCCCUGUGAUGGACAAAUCUGAAAAAGUUUUUUCAUCUUACAAGCCCAGAGGAUGGUAUUUAGAGGCUGAUUUUUGGUAUCUCAGUUCCUGGUAGGGAAGAUGAAUUCCGUAUUUGAAAUUUGGGGACAAACAAAAAUAAUUCUUUCUUUUUCCUUGAAGGGUUAAUGCUCCAACCAGCCUCAGAUUGGUUCGCUUGAAUCUUAAAAUUACUUUUCUGGUCACGCGCACCGAAGGUCUAAGCAUUUGUGAAAUGUCUUUUUUUUUUUUUUUUUUUCCCUCUUGAUGCUGUUCUCUUUGGGCUGUCUUAAUUACACAGGGGUUGAGAAACCAAAUUAAAAUUAGGCGUGUCUGGUCAACAGUGAUCACGUUGCAUGCUUUUAGCUUUGCUUGUUGAAGUUGCUUCUCCUCCCUGAGUGGCUUUCCUCCCCACAAUUUUUUUUUUUUUUUUUUUUGAAGGAAAUAUCAUAAGCUCUUUCAGAAAUACUCACAGGAAGUGAGAGUCCGUAUGCUGGUUACUCACCAGCAACUGAGUGUUGGCAGGUGGAGAAUGCUACCGCAGCCCGCCCAGACGGAUCUGCAGACUGGCCCCAUCGCAGAGGAUUAGACACAGGGUGCAUGGAUCAUAGGGUUUUUGAACAGAAGGGAGUUUUAAGAGGAAAUUGGUCACUGCGUGUCAUCUCGAGGGGUGGUGAUUCAGGGAGCAGGGCUGGGGGUCAGAAGGCACGUGGCUGCCAUUUCAGAGGUUCCUGCUCACUUCUCAGAGGGCAGGCUGGCUUCUAAAAAUCAACGCUCCCUCCACCCCCAAACAGCGAUUCUUCUGCAGUGAAUCACUUCCAGAAAUGAAUAGCCACAGUUUUUUGGAACGAACGUUGUGAAAUCCCUCCUUUAUAAUGGCAGGUUUUCAGUUGGUGGUUUUAUCAGAAUUUCUCAAGAUCAAAACGAAACCUUCUCUUUAAAAAGGAAAGAAAGUACUAUCGAUACAGAAAGCAAAAGUAUUUCCAGUCUCCUACUGAACUGUCACGGCAGACCUCUCUGUAUCUAUAUUUAGAGCUGUAUGUCCAUAUAUUUGCCUGAAUGAGUGAGUUCUUGGAAGUAUGGAUUCAUUGCCAGGAGCUGGUGAUUUCCUAAGCAGAGGUCGCUAACUACAAGAAAUGUUACACUCGGUGAGUAGGUGGUAGUUUCUGAAGAUUAUUGGUAACCCAGUGUUGGUCGUCUUGAGUCAUGGAUUUAAAUGACGGCUAGCAAGCUCUUAAACACCUUCUGCUUUAUAUGAUACAAAGUAUGGAACUGCAGGACGCACAGACAACUGUGAAGGGUUUUUAAGAAUAUGGAUUCAUUGAAUAAUCAGUGAAUCUUGUGAAUAUACUAGACCUUUGGAGGAGGAAAGGGUGUUUUACAGAAGGAAGUGGUUUGUGGGGGCUUUUAAAGGUACAGUUAUCGCUUUUCUAUAUUUAUUUUCAGCAUCAUUCAGUCCUCCUAUAUGAAAGAAAGAAAUGGUCUCGAUAGAGAAAAAGUUAUGCUGACUCUUUAAAUGAAGAAACUUGAUCCUCAUGUUACUCUUAACUGGACUUUUUUCCUCCUAAAUAUUCAUAAGGGAAACUAUCCCAUGAAGGCAACUAACUUUCUGGCAAUCUCUACGAUGUGUCUAAUUCAGAACCCGGUGGGCUCUCCAUGCAUUAUUGGCAGCACUUUUAUCCAGGGGCACAGACAGGGAAUAGGGUUACUGGAAACAGGGAGUGUAGCUCAAGGAAUUGUUCUCUCUCUGGAGUGGAUAAGUUGUUUGACCUACUGACUCAUUUCAUAGGAAUUAGGAAAACAACCUAGUGUGGUUUUUAUUGUUAGUCCUGGAGGAUUCCAAAAUCUGUGUGCCUGCAAAUAAGAUGAGCUGGGGAAAGGGAGCACCGGCAUUUGGUGUUUCUACUUGCCUCUUUUCCUGAUGGAAUCCAAUCCUCUGCUUCCAGGACAAGUCCUGCGCUUGGGGAUCCUCUGUACGCCCGUUCACUGGUGAGUAUGUAUGACAGCAAUUUCUGAUUUCACUAGUUCUUGCUUCUAACACCUAAAUGGUGCUUUGUCUAGGGAAACGCUUUAAAGAGCAUUUUCCCCCAGUACGUUUAUAAUACAUUUCAUAUUUACCUACAGAAAAUACUGUGGAUGUGAUAAUAAUUAUAAAAGACAACCCACAGACAACAAUGAAAGUUAAGAAUUAAGAUAUAUUCUGAUAGAUUUUUGCAGCAUAUUGACAUAAAGGCAGUUUUGGUUUUGACAUAUGUACACUAAAAUGAUAUCUGUAAUGCUAUUAAAACUCAAGUAUACAAGGCACCAGUAUAUUCUGGCAAAAAUAAUAUAAUGAUCAACAGUUAAUGAAAGGCUUGUGCUUUGAGCUUCUAACAAAAUGUUAAUAUGUAGAGAAACUUGUGAUUCAUGAUGCUUUGGUUCUCAACCAGAGUUAUCAAAUAAGCUAAAAGUAUCAGAAGAGGACAAAGAAAGUACGUAAAACACGGAUAAAAGCAGAAACCGAGAAAAGAUAGCUUUGAUAUUUAAAGUGUUAGAUUAUGGCCUCUAUAUAAUGUCAUAUAUGCCAGAUCCCCCCCCCAAAAUCACACCCUCAAAUUAUGAUCUUCAUUAUUCAAAAGAUGUUUGGCGUGUUGGUGGUACAGUGGUGAGCGUAGUUGCCUUCCAGAAGAUGGUUGGUGUAUAAUUACUAUAGAAUUUCUUGCUCUCUUGGGAGGUGGCUUAGUAGAAGGUUGAGUCAGGCAAGCUGGGGCUGUUUAUUCAGUGUGCUGUGCUGUGCUGUGCUGUGCUGUGCUGUGCUGUGUCUGAAUGCCUGGGAGUUUGCAUUGUUAACCUUUCCAGGGUGCUAGAUCCCUUUGAGAUUAUGAUGGAAGCCAUGAAUCCUUUUCCCACACCUGUAUGCAAACAUGUGCCUGCCCAUUUACAGACCCAAAGAAGGACAUCCAUGUACCCCACGUUAAGAAGGCUGCCCUGGACUAAGCCCUCACUGUGACUCUGCUGUUCUUAAGCUUCCCAGGAAACACUGUUAUGUAAAAAGACGAGCCAUCCAGGUCAAAAAGAAGUCAUUGUGGUUGCUAGGUGGGGGUGCAAAGCCAAAGACAAAGGGUGGGGAAAAUACAUGACUAAUAAUAAAUAAAGAGCAUGGUUAAUACCAGAGUCUCCAAACUGAUAGCCCAGAAUCCCUCAACAUGUAGCCACGAGUAUUUGUAAAGUACGUUGUGAAUUCAGGUAGAGGGCCGAAGACUCAACAUUAAGCAGUUGGGCAGAGUUUUCAUACAUAUAUUUGUCUCUGCCUUUUGCACAAUAUAAAACUAUGAAAUCUCUUUUCAUUUUUCUAUUGUGCAUGCUACCACAUUAGGUAGGAAUCAAAAUCAUCUCAACUCCAGAAGUAUAAUUCAUAACAAUUAUAACAAAGCAGAAAAAUGAUUCUACAUUAGCAGAAGAAAUGUAGUAGGAAUAGAUUUAAAAUAGCAUGGUUGAGUACAAAAGAAACAUCGUUUUUUAAAAAAUGGCAGCCUUUAUCACUCAUCAGCUAAACUUAAAGUCAAUGCUGUGAGGCUGUUGCGGGAAAAAAAUAGUCAUGAUUCUUGGGUGUAUUAAAAGGAGUAUGACAUAGAAGGGUAAGAAAACAAGACGUAGUGUGUUUGUCAGACUCAUCAUUGUGUCCUGUUUGAGUCACACUUGAAAAAAGAAUUUGGACAAUUGUGAAAAGCUGAUACACAAGCAACAGAAAUUACACGCCCUUCCAGGAAAAGAUAAGUCAACUGAGGAUUUUAUUCCACACAAGGCUGGAGGAUUUCUUGCUAAUGGCCUUUAAGUAGUAACAGUCUGGUUUAUCCUUAUAUUCCUAGGGCCUUCCACACUGCCUGGUGCACAGUACUUGAGAUGAUCGUUGUGUUUAGUGAUAAUGAGUAAGGUUCCUGUGAGAGACUUAGCAGGAGUAAGUAGGUUCAAAUAAAACCAGCGAUAGUGUCAUGACAGAUGGUAUAUAAUACAUGAAUUUGCUGGGUGAUUAAUACAUAAGGAUGACUGUCUCACUUGUGAGGAUGAUAUAAUACUUCAGCAGCUAACUGGGGGAAGCUACAAAAUCUUGGUUUGAUACCUCUUUCAGGAUGAAAGCAGAUAAGUCUGCUGGGGUGGUGGAAACAUUCAUUCAUUCAUUCUACAAACCCUGAGGGCCUACUUGGCUAGGUGCUCACGGUCUGGUAGAGGAGACAAAGAUACAAAAACAGAGUCACAGUGUGUAAUGAGUGCCAUGGGAGCAUAAAAACAGCAUGCGCAGGGCUUGUGACACUCAACCGCCACCCCGCGCAGCUUCCAAUGGAGGCGAAGUCACAAUUGACCCCAAUAGACAGGCUUGACAGAGUUAGUUGGAUGGGAGGCAGGUGGGGCAGCCUGUCCAGAGGCGCAGACCUGUGUGUGUGGGGAAGGGGUGAUGGGAGAUGCAGACUCGGCAGUGCUUGUUAACAGAGGUGUGAAUGCCGCGCCUUGCUUGCCUGAAGAUUUCCACCCAGGAUCCUGACAAAAGUCAGAUGUGCACUUCAGAAAGGCCAGGCGGGCUGCAGUGAAGAGAAUGACUCGAGGGGGUGCGGGUGUGGGACGUGCCAUCGAGGCAAGGAGGCCAAAUGGAAAGCUUUGGUCAGGACACAGGUGGUGAUGGAUUCCGGGGAGAAAUGGGGGAGGGUGACGCAGGCAGAGUGGCCAGGGUUAUCAAGUGGCAUCAUUCACCACAAAAUGCAGUCCAAGAGGAAGCCCAGCUGUGAGGGGGGACAGGUGGCAUUCAGACAUGUCAGUACACAGAGUCAAUGGCAGAGACAGAGCCAGUGGGCAGUUGGGCCAUAUGGAUAAGGACUUGAGUGAGACCUGUCUCCAAAGCAGGGGAUCACUCUUCUAAUUUUUUAUAUGGUGUUUUUCAUUCUAUUCUGACUCAUUUGUAAUAAAACCUCCUUUAUUUUUUAUCAUAUAUAUUUCAGGUGUCAACAUGCUGGUUUGAUAUAACAUGUACAAAGCAAAAUAAUAACUUACACUCAAGCUGUGAGUGUACCAUCUCACAGUUACCUUUUUGUGCAUGUGUGUUAAGCCCACCUAAAAUGCACUUAGAAAUAUUCAGUAUCUUCACUGUGGUCAUGCUGUACUGCAGAUCUCUAGAUGUAUUCAUCUGACAUCAUUCCAGCUUUAUACCCUUUGACCCACAUCUCCCCAUCCCCCCCAACCACCUCUCUCUGUUUCUAUGGACUGUAUUUGACUAUUUUAGAUUCCACAUAUUACCUCUAAUCCUCAAAGCUCUAUUAGGGUUUUGUGUAUUUCCUUCCAGCAUUUUCCUACAUACACACAAUUUGCAGAAUCAGCAUGAUUCUGUAUAGGUACUUUAUUUAUUUAUUUAUUUUCAGAUGGAGUUUCACUCUUGUUGCCCAAGCUGGAGUGCAGUGGCACAAUCUCGGCUCAAUGCAACCUCUGCCUCCUGGGUUCAAGCAAUUCUCCUGCCUCAGCCUCCCAAUUAGCUUGGAUUACAGGCACGCGCCACCACGCCCAGGUAAUUGUGUAUUUUUAGUACAGACGGGAUUUCACCCUAUUGGUCAGGCUGGUCUCGAACUCCUGACCUCAGGUGAUCCACCCACCUCGGCCUCCCAAGGUGCUGGGAUUACAGGUGUGAGCCACCACGCCCAGCCUGUAUAGACACUUUCCUUUUUUUUUUUUUUUUUUUGAGACGGAGCCUUGCUCUGUCACCCAGGCUGGAGUGCAGUGGCACAGUCUCGGCUCACUGCAAACUCCACCUCCCGGGUUCAUGCCAUUCUCUUGCCUCAGCCUCCCAAGUAGCUAAGACUACAGGUGCCCGCCACCACGCCCGGCUAAUUUUUUGUAUUUUUAGUAGAGACGGGGUUUUACCAUGUUAGCCAGGAUGGUCUCGAUCUCCUGACCUCGUGAUCUGCCCGUCUCGGCCUCCCAGAGUGCUGGGAUUACAGGCUUGAGCCACCAUGCCCGGCCUGUAUAGACACUUUCUAUCCCACUUUUAAAACAGGCAUGUUCUCCCUAUGCUUUAAAAUGCCUUUAAAAUAUUUCUAAUGGUGCUAAUUCUCUAAUUUGGGAGUGUCUAAUUUGCUUCCAGUUUUUAAAAACUAUUUUUUAUUAUAGUAAUUAACCUUUUAAAUACAUGAAUCUUGGGCAUAUUUUUAAUGAUUUCCUUAGGAGAGAUUCCUUACAGUGAAUUUCUUGAGUAAAAGGAGGUUAACUGUAAGAUUCUUGAUAUACCUUGCUAAAUUGUUUUCUAGAAAGCUUGAACCAAGUUCUGCACAUUUUAGCAAAGUAUGAAAUGUCCUUCUCUCCAUAUCUUCAUCAGCAUUGAGUGUUCUCUCUUUUUUAUCUUUAGACAAAAAGGUUACAUUCUUUUUGGUUCAUCUACUCAGAAGCUAUUUAAUGAAUGUUCACUCCAUGUCAGGCAUGUGGCAUGUUUUCAUCUCUACCAGUAACGCUGAACUUUCUUCUUGUGUGCAUCAGCCUGUUGUUUUCUUUCGUAAAUGUUCUGUUCAUGUCCAUUAUCAACUUUCCUAUUAGGGUGUGACUGUUUGUAUGAUAUAUUUAUAACGAUGUGUGUGUGUGUGUGUGUGUGUGUGUGUAUACGAUAUUUGGGGUAAAUACUUUUCCCAGCUUCUUUGACUUUUAAUUUUGCUUAUACUUUAUUGGAAAUACAGAACCUUUAUUUUAUUAUUAUUAUUAUACUUUAAGUUCUGGGAUACAUGGGCAGAACGUGCAGGUUUGUUACAUAGGUAUAAACGUGCCAUGGUGGUUUGCUGCACCCAUCAAACCAUCAUCUACAUUAGGUAUUUCUCCUAAUGCUAUCCCUCCCAUAGUCCGCCACCCACCAACAGGCCCUGGUGUGUGAUGUUCUGCUCCCUGUGUCCAUGUGUUCUCAUGAGAACCUUUAUAUUUUAUGUAGUGGAGUAAGUUAUUUUAUCUUUUUUUUUUUCCUGUGUAACUUCUGUUACCUCAGGCUUAGGAAUUCCUUCCUACCCAGAAGUUAGAAAAUAUUCAUCUAUUUUUUUUUAAAGUUUCAUUUUUAACAUUAAACUCACCAAAUUAGAAGUAAGAUGUGGCCAGGCACAGUGGCUCACACCUGUAAUCUCAGUGCUUUGGGGGGGCUAAGGUGGAAAAAUCACUUGAGGCUAGGAGUUCAAGACAAGCCUGGGUAACACAGUGAGACCCCACCUCUACCAAAAAAAUUUAAAAAUUAGGCAGGCAUGGUAGCAUGUGUCUGUAGUCCUAGCUGCUUGGGAGGCUGAGGUGGGAGGAUCGCUUCAGCCCAGAAGCUUGAGGCUGUAGUUAGCUAUGAUCAUGCUAUUGCAUUCCAGCCUAGGCAACAGAGCAAGAACUCUGUGUCUUUAAAAAAAAAAAAAAAAAAAAAAGUGUGAAACAAAGAUCCAAAUGGACUUUGUUUCACAGAGUAAAUCCCCCAUCAUGUUUUGAGUCAUGUAUCUUUCCCUAUUUAAUUUGUGGUGCUUCCUUUAUUUUAUAUUUCAAGACUUUUUGCUAUUAUAUCCAGCGGUAGGAGCCCAUGAACUUGUUGGAUAUUGGUAUGCACAGAAGAUGCGGUAAUACUUUUUUCCAAUAUUUUAUUAUGAAAAAUACACUGGCUAGAUUCUAUAAUUAAUAUUCUGUCACUUUAUCAUCUAUUCACGUAAUAAUUCUUAAACUUCUCAAAUCAUUAUUUGAAUUUCAAAGUGGACUAUCAAAGACAUUUUCUCUAACCCUAUUUUUCUCUAAUUUGCAGUUUUGAUUUCCAGGAAGCCUUUAACAAUUUAUAUUGUUAGUACAGUAAGAGAGUAAACAACACACAAAAUACCAAGAGAAACUACUUUCCAAAACAUGUUUUAGUCGUUUAACUUUAUGAAUAUGGCUAGCAAGGGGGCUUCCUGGGGGACAGUGCUGGGGAAAGAGCAGGCCCUAGGAAUGGGCUUUGAAAGAAGACUUUUGCCACCGUCAGGUCACAUUUGCAAGAGGUCAUCGUCGUGGUCUGCCAGGGAACCCUUAGCAGAAAGGCUGCUUUGCCCAGGAUCUGGCUUGCCGCCCCAGACCAGCCCUACCGCUGUCUGGCAUUGAAUGUCCCUGGUCCACAGUGAGUGGCCAGUUGCAUAGACCUUAGAUCAAGGAGCUUAGUCACCUCUUUCCAGCCUAAAUCAUGAGCACCCUAAAUUCCCAUGGGUUGUUGAGACCUAAUAGCAUCCUGGCUUAGAGAUGGGAUUGCAGCUGGGUCUGCACAGGAAACUGGCCUACUGUGUCUGCCUCUUGGUGCAGCAUACAACCAGCCACAUGGAAAAACCCAGCCUGCAAUAAAAGACUUGCUUUGGUCACCACCUGACAUUAGCUGUGGUUUAAUCUGUGUAAUGUUUUUCUUCCCCCCCAUGUAAGCCUCAAUUUCCUAUCCAUAAAAUAUGUUGGUUUUGGCCAGGUGUGGUGGCUCACGCCUGUAAUCCCAACACUUUGGGAGGCCAAGAUGGCCUGAUCACCUGAGGUCAGAAGUUCAAGACCAGCCUGGGCAACAUGGCAAGACCCCCCCUCUCUACUAAAAAUACAAAAAACUAGCUGGGCGUCAUGGCACAUGCCUGUAAUCCCCGCUACUUGGGAGGCUGGGGCAGGAGGCAGGACAAUCGCUUGAACCCGACAGGCAGAGGUUGCAGUGAGCCGAGAUCGUGCCACUGCACUCUAGACUGGGCCAUGAGUGAGACUCUGUCUCAAAAAAAAAAAAAAGUUGGUUUUAUUAGAUUACAGAGAAUACUUUCUCUAUCCAAAAUCUGUGAUUUUAAUCUAGAACACUGAAUGUAGGUCAGUAUCCACCCCAUUUUCAGAAAUCUGGGAAGAUCUUUUUUUGUUUUUCAGCUUCUCAGAAUAAAUACUUUCUAGGAUGUUACAAACAUGGAUGAAGUUCACCAGAACAGAUCCAGGGUUAACCUUUUAAAGUCAUUAGAUAUGGCUCCAGUAAAAGGCAUGAGAAGGCACCCGUGAGACCCUGCAGAGGAAGCCUCACUCCUGGGCAGCCUUACGGCUGACCAGCUACCUUACUGAGCAUAUUCCUGCCUCUACCCCAGAGACUCACUCUGUGGUCCGGUGUCACCUCGAUUCUAAAUUCCCUGCUUCCUGGUGAAUGAUGCUAUCACACUUUAGAAACCUGGCCAAUAAAUGCUUUGAAAUUUAAGGAUAGCUAUCCUGAAAAAAUUUAAUAUAACCUAAAUUGAUAGUCUAAUGACAUCAGUAUUCAGAAGAGGCAUUCUAUUUCAGCAAGUGGUUUUCAGAAAAAAAAUAAAUAAAUAACCUGAGUUUUUCCCCUGCCACUCUCCCCUCUUGCUUUUAUGCUGCAAAAAGAGCUUGUUGCUUGCCUGACACACCGUGUUGUUCUCUGCCUUCGAAGAUCUAGCUCCCUCAGCCUCCCCACGUUGUCCACCUCUCCAAUACCAUUGCUCCACUGGGAAGCUGGCCCGGAGGUGCUCUACCACGUUCAUCUCUCGCAGCCCAGGGCUGUCUUUAACGUUACAGAGACACAGAUAUCAAAGUGUUGCAAUUUAUUUGGCUUUCAUUAAUUUGCCGGAAGCAAGGGAGGGUAGAUACAAAGUACUCCUCUAACCUGUUAUUUUCCUUGCUGUUAAAGUGUAAAGAAGACUGAUGUAAGAAUCUCUGCCUUCCACCAGUCAUAACCAUGGUAUGCACAGAGCUUAUGAAUCAUCUUCCAAAUUCACAGCUAGUUUUAAAAUUUAGCUUCCAGGCUAGAUCUGCAGGAAAUGAUUGGGAGAUCGUAAGUGCUAUGGAGUGAAUAUGAAGUUACUUACCAGAUCCCAUAAAGUUAGCUCAGGGAAUCCUGAGGAAGGUGUCACUCAGAAAGCUGCUUUCAAAGCUGAGUCAGACCUGCAUGGUGUUUAUUACCUCCAUUGUGUUACCAUGCCAAACAUAUAAAUAGCUUCAAAGUGAGUUCAGAUUAAAACACAGAAAAAUCUUUGGAUAUAUUCACAGGCCAGUGGGGGUCAUGUAACAAGUCAGCAAGGAAAAUAAAAGAUAUUUGAGGUACAGCCUCAACUUUUUAAGAUGGAUCUUGAAUAAAAAGGUCUAAUGAAAUAUUCUAUGGUAUUGCUCUCUGGGAUUUAAAAAAAAAAGCAAAACAAAAAAACGAGGGCACUGGAACAAUGUUUUAGAUAGAUCACGGGUGUUUUCCAGUAUGCAUUUUUAGUGCACUUACUUAACUGAGAGCCCUCUCAUAUGAAACUGGAAUGUCACCACCAUGUGAUAAAGCGUAGACUAGCUGUGACCUAAUACGUACUGAUCAUGACUAACGCAGAAGUCCAGGUCACUGCGGUUGUAUUUCCUGUGGCCUCAGUGUUCUGGGGUUAGGGUUAACAGGGAUAAUUCAUUUCUGUGUUCAAGUCUCUAAUUCUUCCAUCAUGUAAACUAUAAGUGGGAGCAGACUGGAUUCAGCAUUGCUACAAGAGAAAAACAACAAAUAGGAACACCACCAACACCAUGUGUUGGGAGCCCCAUGUGCCAGGCACUGUGCCAAAUACUCGAUAUUGAUUAUCUCUUUUAAUACACAAUCCUGUGUGGCAGAUCCUACUAUGAGACCCAUUUUACAGAUAGACAACUGAGGCUGGGGGAAGUUGGAAAUGGAGGAGCCAGGAUUCAAGUCACAGCAGUCUGGCUCCUGCGCCCAAGCUUUUAAUUUGUAUCCUAUUCACUUUUCAUAAAUAAAUGACUCGUGUUGGAGGUGUUUGUAUCCUUGGGGCCACUCAGUUUUAUUCAGCCAGCUUUCCUUGGUUGUGGUUUUAAUGUGUUAGGGAAGAAUGAAUGUAUUCCCCACAGCUGGGCAUCUUUGUGCUGGAUCACCUGGCCACAGCUCAUGAAUAGUGCAGAUUAUCACACCCCACCCCCAUGACUCCAGCAAAUGUGCUGUGGGUAUAGGAGAGUAUGUUCAAAAAAGGCAAUUAACAAAGCAACUGUCCCAACUACCAAGAAAAACAAAUGUGGCAUAACCCAUGAUAGAACCCUCUUUUUUCCUUAUUAGACAUGAACAGAAGCUCAUUAAUGCCGUCCAGUAAGUUCAAGCCGCAUAACUUACAUACACUGUCAGGACCCAGAAAGAAACCUGUUGUCUUGUGAUGUUAUUGUUGCUUGGUUGACCUCAUAAUGUCUUGACAGGGCUCAAGACACCCUUCAUGAUCUGGUCUUACCUCUCAGGACUCCCCCCAUCCUUACCAUUGUUUGUUGAUCUCUGGUGCAGCCAAAUGAAGCCCAUCAUGCUUGUCCUCUGCCUGGAAGCUCUUCCUUCCCUCUUCCUGGCCAAUGGCUACUGUCCCUUCAGAGCACCUGUUCAGAUGAAACCUCCACCAGGCAGCCUCUGCUGACUCCUAAGGGCUGGGCUAGGUGCCCCUUGGGUGCUUCCACAGCCCUUUCUGCUUACCCAGUUGUACAUGUGUCAUACUGUGUUCUGUAAUUCCUCUUUUUGUCCAUCUUCCCUGGCUUGCAUUGACCCCUUAAAAGCCAUGAUUAGGGCCGGGCGCCGUGGCUCACGCCUGUAAUCUCAGCACUUUGGGAGGCCAAGGCAAGUGGAUCACAAGGUCAGAUCGAGACCAUCCUGGCUAACGUGGUGAAACCCCAUCUACUAAAAAUACUAAAAUUAGCUGGGUGUGGUGGCACACGCCUGUAGUCCCAGCUACUCGGGAGGCUGGGGCAGGAGAAUUGCUUGAACCCGGGAGGCGGAGGUUGCAGUGAGCAGAGAUUGCGCCACUGCACUCCAACCUGGGCAACAGAGUGAGACUCCAUCUCAAAAUAAAACAAAACCAUGAUGCCAUGAUUACGUAGUGUUUACUUUUGGAUAAACACCCGGACACAUGAUAGAGAAUAAAUGUUUGAGAGAGAGAAAUGACCUACUGGGUAACACCAAAAACUAAUGUAUACCAUGUCUAGUGUUUACAGUUUACAAGAUGCUUUCACACACGUAACUUCAUUUGAUCCUCCCGGCAACUCUGCAAAAUAGAUUUCUGCAUCCCUGUUGUACUGACCAGGAAACAUCAGCCUGCCCUGAUGGCAGGGAUGUGGUUAGCAGGUGGAAAGCCAGGACUCAGGCUCAGGUCUUCGAACCCAGAUUUUAUGCCCUAUGUACCGCCAUGUGGAUAUUCUCAAGGCAACUCUCUGAAAUAUUUCCAGAAUCUUUCACAAAAGUCCUGUGUCGUCCUUGUCCUGGCCAACUAGACUCAGAGGGAGGACUGAUGGAUUUUCAUCUCCCUCUUCCCCUUCGUCUUUUCUUCUUAGCAUCUUCCUACCCUCCCCACCACCGCGCUUCUCCACCAAAAGUCUGAUGCUGGCAUGUAAUGGACCCUUUCCAAGUUUCAAGGUGUUGACAGUAAAUCUUUUGUAUUUAGACCGGGCCGGCUGCUUUCCUUUUCUUGUGGGUAGAACUCUGGAAAAGUGGAGGGGGGUGGGUGGGGCUUCAGGUAAAGUACGUCAGCAAAUUGGAUAAGUCGGAUCUUCGUUGUGUUAGUGGGUAAGAGAUGAACUGGGGGGAGGGGUGUGUGUUUGGGCAGUGAGCAAGCCAGCAAGAGAAUGUGAGUGGGCGGCCAGUUGGUUGGCAAGUGAGAGGCUGUGGAGAGGUUGCUGCUGGGACGGGCUGUGCAAUUAAACAGUUGAGCAGAUCUUAAUAGCAGACUGGGGCGGUGCUCUCCGCAGGCCUGCGGGGAGCAGGGAGCAGGGGAAGCAAGCGAGCUGGAAGCAUCUUUGGGCACAGAGCUAGAUACGAAUUUCAUAAGCACAUAACCUGAGGAAUAGAAUGCAACCAGAGGAGGGAGAAAUAGAGAUUCCAGGCAGCGUUUCCUAAACUUAAAAAGUUUUGAAUACCCAGUUUUGCCUUGUUCUGGGGACCUCUGGCAAUGUUGUUCAAGGGAGGAAUUUUUAAUUUCAUAGAAAAGUGAAUUUUACCACCACAAGAGAACAUGAGACCAAGGUCAUAAAUCCCUUUGUUUGGAGUGUCCGUUCUGAACUCCUUUUGUACUUUUAUUUGCAGGAAGAGGCUAUACCAGCAAGUAUUAUGGUUUUACUGGGUGGGGCGGCAAGGCCAGGAAGAGAUGGAGAUGCUGUUAAAGGUCCUUGCUCCAGAACAUUCAGAGAUCAGAGGAACUCAAGAGGUCAAAGUAGGCUGAUGUCAUUGUUCAUCCAUUUAUUCAGCAAACCUUUCUUGAACACCUACUGUGUGCCAGGCACUGGUUGGCAGUGAGGUGAAGACGAUAGUGAUGAAAACACAGGCAUGGUCUCUGUCAUCAUGGAACCUAAGUAAACACAUACCAAAAAAAAUGGCCCAAGAAAAAUCAUCCCUGAGGGGAAGGCACUCAGAUGAAAAGGACCUUCUUCCCAGUGGUCCCCUGAGGAGGUGAUUUCCAAGGUCUCAGCUAAGAGAUGAGCAGGAAUGUGUGGGUGCAGGGGGUAGGGGUGAGAGCUCUCGGCAUAGAGAGAGCAGCACAUUUCAAAGGCCCUGGAGUGGGGAAGGAGGUGGCAGGUGCAGCUGUGUGGUGGCUACUUCCACUUCAGAAGUCUUCUGGAAUGUCUUUUUUUUUUUUUUUUUUUGAGAGCUCUGUUGCCCAGGCUGGAGUGCAGUAGCACGAUCUCGACUCACUGCAACCUCUGCCUCCCGGGUUCAAGCAAUUCUCCUGCCACAGUUUCCCAAGUAGCUGAGAUUAUAGGUGCAAGCCACCAUGCCUCGCUGAUUAUUACAUUUUUAGUAGAGACGGGGUUUUACCAUGUUGGCCAGGCUGGUCUCGAACUCUGUCUCCUGGAACCUCUUGAUGAGCCCCUGUGAGGUUCCCCAGCCCAGGGCAUCCCCCCAGGUAUUCAGGAGAGACCCGUCCCCAAGAGACUGCCUGCCACUUCCUCUUCCUGUGAAUGUCACUGUGAGGGGAAUAAAUAAGGAUAGACCAGAAAAGCAAAUUGUAAGAAAUUUGAAACCAGUUGUCAGUUUUCAGGUGCCCAGGAGCAUGACAAUAUGCCCGAGGGACCAUAACAGGACUUGACAUGGAGCUGGGUCUAAAGCAGAUGACCUGGUGGCUGCAGUGUGUUCCACACAGGCGAGCACUGUGAGGCCAAAGGACUGGUGUUGAGCAGAAUGAAAAAGCACAGUGUUGGUUAAUCCUGAAAAGUGAAGCCUGCAAGAAAUGAACUUCGACCUUGGAGUGGGGGUGGGACAGGGCCUAGAAGGAAGAGAGGCUCGGAAGUGUGUUGUGUAAACGUGGUUCUGUUUUGUCUAAUCUUUUACUACCUGUAGGGACAGGUGGAUGCAGUGGAGCUGCUGGCAGGAAAGGUGGAGUUUUUUCAAGGUCACGAGUUAAGCAAUAGAGUAGAAUAUCUUUGCAGCUGCAAGAGGAGGUGCGAGCAGCUUGUUCACAAGGUAUAUUUUGCAGGAGUUUCCCCUUAAAAGAUCUUAUUUGCUUGAGAGUAGCGUUAAGGAUUUCUGUGCCAACAGUUAGCUGGAUCUCUGGGGUUGAAUCGUUAUCACCAAUCUAUAGUUAAAAUAAGCAUUAAAAAAAGAAGUCUACUUUCAAAGUUUUCCCGAAGUGCCAGUCUGAAGCAGCUACCUUUAAAAGCUGUUCUUGAAUAAUAGGUUGCUAUAUCCUAGUCUGUAAUCUUGGACUAAUGUCUGAGGAAGGAAAAAAAAAAAGAAUAUUCUCUCUUUGUCCGAUUAAGAAGUGGAGGUAGACAGCGAUUCGACAUGUUGUAUGGGCGAGGCUGUGCUGAGCUUGCGUCUGGGACAAUGACCAGACAGAUGAAAGGAGAAGUGAGAGAUAUUUUUAGCACAUCAGGACUGCUUUGAAACAUUGAUUUUUUUUCCAUCUCCUCCCACCCCCCAUAAUUCCAGCAGGAAGAUUCAGUGGCAGGUGCUUUAAUUCAGUGUAAAAACAUCUUCUAUAUUACACACUAAAAUAUUCAUGAGGAAAGGGAGUUGCUGAUUUGAAGGCGUAGCUUUAAAACCCACGUCUGUGGGCUUGGUGGUCAGUGUCCCGCCACACAGUCUGGAAGUGUGACGUGGCCAAGGAGGACCCCCAGAAGGAUCCUGUGUCUUCCGUGGGGACUACUCCUUUCCUCAGAGGAGCGGGUUCACAGGAAACUGGAGCAGAAGGAUGCCUUUAGCCCCACUCCUGUUGGUCCUCAGUCCCUUCUCCUUUGAUCAGGUGGUUCAAGCACGCCUUGAAGUUCCGGUGUUCAAACAACGUGACCUCUGCAAUUACAUUCUAAUACUUGUCGGUGCCCAACUUAAACCACUAGCAAUGUUAGUUAAAAACAUCAGGAAGCCGGGCGCGUGGCUCAUGCCUGUAGUCCCAGCACUUUGGGAGGCCUAGGCGGGCAGAUCACUUGAGGUCAAGAGUUCGAGACCAGCCUGGCCAACAUGGUGAAACUCUGUCUCUACUGAAAAUACAAAAAAAGUUAGCCAGGUGUGGUGGCGGGUGCCUGUAAUCCCAGCUACUUGGGAGGCUGAGGCUGAGGCAGGAGAAUCACUUGAACCCGGGAGGCAGAGGUUGCAGUGAGCUGAGAUCGCGCCCCUGCAGUCUAGCCUGGGUGACAGAGACAAAAAACAAAACAAAACAAAAAACCUCAGGAGGCUGUAAAUCAAGCACAACUGAAGCAAAGAUAAAAACGGGCAGUCUCAGAAUCACCUUUGAAGGUGGAAGGAAGGGCGUUUGUGUGUGACAAGAAGAGUGUACAUUCAUACAAGGGUUUUUACUCCUCCUCUGAAAAGUCCUGCUCGGUGGCUGGCCAGUUUGUCAUGCUUGGCUGCCCAAGCAAGUGGUGGCAGUCGGAGCACAGGAGAAAGCCGCAGGGGGUGAGGAAGAAGUGCUGGAGAGGGCGCUCCACCUUUCGGCUGCCCUGACCUGUCUCCAGCCCCAGGGCAUGUGGUUCUGGGCCGGGCACUGGCCCCCUCUCUGUGGACUGUACCAGGCAGCAGGUAGCGCACAAGCUCUGAGGUCAGGCCACCUGGGCCUAAACUCCAGCUCUGCUCCUUGCUAGCAGUGUGACUCUGGGCACGUUCAAGUUACUUCAUGCUUUGUGCCUCAGUUUCCUCAUCUGUGAAAUGGGGAUGGUAACAGGACCCUCAUCCCAGGACUGCUGUGUGGAUUGAAGUGCCUGCAACGGGAUUUGUCUUUUCUGGGAUCGCGGUGGAUGCUCUAUUCCAGGUUCCAGCUCAUGUCUCAGGAGGCCACUAAGCCCACUCCUCUGCCCCAGCCUGUGUCUGCGCACGGCUCUUCUCCCUUCCUCCUGG